CUUUUUUUUUUUUUUUUUUUUUUCCUACGUAGAAAACUGCAAAUAUCAGAAGUGGUCGGUUAAGGCAGAGUCCAUGACAAAUUAUUAAGUGAUUUCAUCCGUGAUAUGAUCACAGUUUUAAUACAGUAUACAGGCUGAAUAAUUAAAUAAAAUCUCAAUCCUGCAACUUGGCCUGAGAGUCUGUAGCAAAAUUGCCUCAGCAUGAUGAGGGGAUUGAAAUAGGAAAAAAAAAAAAAAAAAGAACACUCAUUUAGAAGAAAUUCUUCAGCAAAAAUUUCAACCCAUUACGCGAUGUCACUCCCCCAAAUUCCCUCAACAAAAGCUUUCAAUUAAUGAACUUCAGAUUAGCCUAGCCAGUUUCCAUUAGCGCCCAGCACAUUAGGCUUUAGAGAUCUUCUUACACCAGAACCGUGCCAAGUUGAUGCUGCUUUGCUUGUGCAACAGACCUACUGGUCGUCAUCGUGCAAGGGUAACCUAUUGACUAAGGCAGAAAUCCAGAAGUUAACAGGUGAUUUCCAGCCCGUUUCACGAUAGAUCGAACGAUAUACAGCAGCCCCAGAGGAAUCAACAAACCGAGAGAUCUGCAAUCCUCAAUACUAUCACAAGGAUUUUACGUCCUUCUCCACAAAUUACGUAAAGCAAGCAGAGUGAUGAGCAUUAAGUAGAACUCUGAAAAGAUUACCCUUAAAAUAAUUUUGUUUUAAAAACCAUAACAAAUGCUGAAAAGUUCAUAAUUACAAUUUAUUGCUGUUAAAUUUUUUACCAUCCGAACCAAUGGAAAGAGAAGGAAGUAAAUAAAAAGCUAAUUGCGGAUCCUAAUUCAGCACAAUUCAUACAUUUCAUGGUGCAAACCAAGUAUGAUGCAGCAUUGACACUUUGCACAAUCUAUCGUUUGCAUUCACCUUGACUUCUUACUACGCAAUCCCAUCCUUGAUUUUGCAUACCUAAAUAUUUUGUCAAGUCCAAACUACAGAAAAACCAAUGAAAUCAUGGGAAGAAAACCGAAUAAUACAAUGGUAAUCACAAAAUUAGACUCAAUCUUAGUAAAGGAUACUCCAACCGCAUGCCCUGACCAGAUGGUGAUGAGUACAGAACUGUGCCUUGUAGAUGAUUUAGAGCCUCACUUGAAGUAGCAGAAUCCUACAAAUUAAACCAUCAGAUGCAGACAGGAGCGUUUUACUAAAAGAUUAAUGAGACGGAAAGCACAGGACUGAACCAUGGCUCUGGGUCAAAAUGGAAAUGUUGGGCAUGUGCCAAUAAAUGCUGGGUUCUCCGUAUCAUAACAAAAAGGUGAGAAAAAUCGUCCAGCUUUUGGUUUCACAGGAGAGGUUUAGAUAGGUAAGGACAAGCAGUUGGUAGUACAGGUGACACAGUUAACAGCAUACCUACCUAUACGAGAUGGAAAAAGGUUGAGCAGAAUAUAUGCUACAAAGUGAAACAUUUCUCCAUGUAAAAGAUAGCCAGGUACAGGUGCAACAACAAAAACAAUUGAACAAAACUUCCAGUAACCACCCUUAAUCCCAUGGAGACUAGUAUCAAAGCUGAGCAGCAAAUGCUCCACAUUUUCCAGUCCAACCAACGGAGUGACUCAAGUUGACAACCAAAACUAAAUAAAGAAGAUUAGACUCUGAAUGAAUCUAGAAAAGAUCCUAAUUUUGUUCAAAAUUCCAACAAGAGAAAAGGGACUAUGCAAAUGUACAACAAACAAAAGGAAAUCCACUACGUUAAGCUUUCAUGCUUUUAGACCAGACUUGCAAAAAUAGUGUUCCAGAAGAACAAAGUAAGAAAUAUACCUGGAAAUCAACAAAUGCAACAGGAGCCCCAUAUGUGCUCUGCAUCUUCAAUUUCAGAAAUCCAGGACAUCUAAGUAGAAAGCAGGCACCAAGUUAGUGCAGCCACAACAAUUUUUAUGAUGAAUGAUGAAGAAGACUGUUCUCCUGAACCUUGAAAAAACUUGAAUGAGCUCCUGUUCUGAACAAGUUGGACCCAGAUUAGCUACAAAAAGUGUUGGACAUGGGGUGGAAUUCUGUGAAACACGGAGCUGAAGUCAAGCGGGUGUACAGCCAAAAUGGAUUAAUUAAUCUACCACAUAAAAGAUCACUAUAUGAACUUGAAAAGGGAGUCAGUAGAUAAGAUUUGUCAAGUAAUAAUCUAAAGCAAGCAAGUGAACAAUAACUGUAAUCGUUCCAACACGCUGAAACUAGUGCAGGAGCAAGACUAAGGCCCUGUUUGAUAACUCAAUUUACCACUUAAAUUUCAUAGGUUCAGAUCUUAACAUGUUCAGAUGCAUUUGAUAACCAAAAAUAGAACAUCUGAAGAAAAUUAAGUGGCACUAAAUUUUCUAGGCAAAAUUUGCUCCCAAAAAAAGUGAUGAGCUAUUCAAUUAUCACUUAAUAUGAUAUAUACACUCAAGUGUAUCAAAUUUAGUCCUUAACAAUUCAGUAACUUAACGAAUUCAGGCUUCAAUUUUAUCAAACACACCCUAACUCAUGCCUUAAAUAAAUGCUAUACAAAAUACUCAGAAUCAGUAUUCAGUUCGUAUAUUCAUAAAGACUUUACCAUAUCAAGGACAAUUUGGAAUGGAUAGCCUCUCUCAUGAAAAGGCCCAGGUUUUCAAAAGCUUAAGGAGAAAACUAACAUUUCUAGCUCGAAAAUCAUGAGCCAAAGCAGGAGUUAAAUUCUAAAAUUUUAAAGAGCCAAACAAAAAUUAUGAAAUAGUUUGUAAAAUACUGUAUCAUUAAAUAAAAUUUCAGGGACAAGAACAUCUUACCAAUUUUUUACUAGAGUCAUUUGCAGCCCUCUCAUCAAAGCUUCCCUCACUACAUUGUGAGAAAAAAGAAAAUGGAAAUCAGAUAAGAUUUUUCAGUAACAUUGUAACUGAUAAAGUUCUCUAACUUCAGGGAAUAGGGCAUAUAGUGACUGCUUCAAUGUGGCCCUUGACCUUUCAGCCAGAAGUAAUCAAAUAUGAGUAAAUUAAACGUGCAUAUCGGCAAGAAGUAAGCACUUCCAAAUAAUUAAAGUGUGCUUAAGUAGUGCAGAUGACCUUUGUGUGGAUGAAUAACCAAUCGUGUUGUGAGCGGAAUUACCCGUUCCAGGCAUGUGAAUGCUGCCAACACCUGCUAGUGCCCAACAGUGCAAAACAUGUGCAAGGUGAGCUUUUAUAUUAACGUGCUCUCCGCUUGGCUGACUAGCUAAUAUUCUUUGUAAGAGAUCAAGUAGGUAUCAUGUGACUAAUUUGGAUUUAAAAAAAAAGCAUAAAAACACAAUUAAACAUCGUGCCCUUGGAAGAAGCAGAAGAUAGAGACUGCUUGUAGAGAUAUUUUCAUCCACAAUAUGCACAGGAAAACUAAGGCAAAAACCUUACCCGAAUCUGUGCCCCUGGAAGAAGCAGAAGAUUUCAUCCUCUUCUCUGAUGCAGCACUCUCAUCAUCUGGUUGUUGCAAGUCAAACACAAUGGUUAAAAAAAGCAGGACACAAGGCAUGACAGGCAGGAAAAAUGUUGCAAAAGUACCUGUUCUUAAGCGCUUAGACCUGGGAUUAGAUUUUGCAAGAUCAAUAUAUAAUGUGGAACCUUUCUCAAGGUCAAAUACCAUUCCCUGGGAAGAAAAAAAAAAAGAAAAAAAAGGAUUAAAAUCAACAAGUGCUGAGGAUAUUUUCUCAGUAAAACCAAAGAUGUGAAUAUGAAAAUGAAGGGAGCCAACUACAUAAGGCAAGAAUGCUAAUUUAUGCAGAAACAGAUAACAAUUACAAUAUAAAGAUACAGAAUUUAGGGAAAACCCCACCAUUCCAAUUUUUAGUCAUACACAACACAAACCCACAACAUUAAAAUCAACAAGUUGUAAGAAUGAGAGACGAUCCUAGAAUUGCAUGAACUAAGGAUCAGUGAGUAGCAAAGCCAUUCCAAAAUGGGAUUUAUAAUUAUGUUUUCCUUUGUGGGAAGGGCAGGUGCUCCCGCCAGGCUCUAAACCCGUCCGGUAAGUUUUUCAAAUUUUUGAAAACAGAAAACCGACUUACUUGCCGGCCUCCACAUCAUUAUUGAUGAUCGAUUCAUUUCAAAUCAACCGAACCCGUCUAAAAUACUAGAGUGUUUGACCACAGUUACUAGGAGCUCAGUAACUUAGAACUAGUAACAAAUGCAAAGAAAGAUGUCCUUACAUUGAGCGUGUGUAAUGCCAUAACAGCUGACUGCUGAUCCACAAAAACAGCAAAAGCAAAUGGCUGUAAACAACCACCAAAGAAAGAACAUAUAAGAAUGCAUAUAUGCAUACAUUAAACAGACUGAAACGCCUGAGAGACCAUCAACUAAUCCGAUAAACAUAAAAACAAACAAAUAAUUGAGAAAAUGAGGGAAAAAAAAUCACCUGAGUACUGGCUGUUGUACGAAGAUGAGAGGACUCGUAACCAGGGAACUCGCGAAAUAGGUUGUAGAUUUCUCGAGCCUUGACAUCUUCAGGAAGUCCAGCUAUGAAGAGAGUACGGACCUCGUCGUGCGAGGAUUGAGGGUAAAGCGGCGGAGCGUAAUUGACGAAUUGGGUUUGAGGAGGUAGGUAUUGCUGGUGGUGUAGCGGCUGAGCUACCGCAGGAUGAGCAGGAUGGGCAGCGGCUCCUGGAGGAGGUGGUGGUGGAGCUUCGUAAUAUUGGUAGUGGGCAGGCGGAGGAGGGUAGUAUGCCGCCAUGACGACGACGUCGUCCAAGGAGAGACUUCGAUGAGGCCUGGUUUUUUCCUAUACUGUGAUUUUUCUGAAUACGAGCUUAGCGUUUUCAUUUACUAAGCUAGGAAGUCGGCCAGUGGUGGAUGCUUUUGGGCCCAAUAGGCGAAAGGAUUCAUAUGGGCUUUUUCGGGUUUUCAGAUGGGCUUUUUUUUUCUUUUUUCUUUAGGUAGCUCUCUUCGCUUUUUUUUUUUUUUUUUUUUUGGUUCUUCCUCUUUCCCUUUUUAUUUUUAGGUAGCUUUCUUCGCUUUUUAUUUGUUCGUAAUAUAUUCUCUACUAACUAUUUUUUUUUUAAUCCCCAACUCAGUUUGCUUAUCUUGGAAGAUCGCCACGAUUGUUGCCGCCUAUAUUCGGGGAGGGACCAAGAGAAGAAAAGAAAAAUGCUACUCAAAGUUUGCGAGCGAGAGUGUUAGAUAAAAACUCAGAUUAGAUCAAUGGAUGGGUACGAGAUAGAGACGACAUACUUGUAGAGUUAGUUCUGCAUUUUACAUGGAAAAUGGCGGUUUCUGUUUGGAAGACUUAUGGGUGAGGCAAGUUUUGGAUUUGAAGCAUUUACAAUAAGUCUCUAAAGCGACAAAAAAUGACAAAUAUUACGAAGCCAAGUUACGUGCACGUUUGCAGCUCGUGCGAAACAAUAAUGACAAUAGAUUUUGGAUCAGCCUCACCACCCCCAUCGAGAUAAUUCAAUUUUCCACGAGAACAGGCUCCUUGUGCAACUGUUACCAUAAAAAAAAAAAAAGUCAAUUUGAUUCUUAUAAAGUAAUUGGAUAAAUUGGUUGAUUAAAUAUAAAAGUGAACGAGUGAAUGGGUUUGAAAUAUUUUUUACUGUCACGUUUCUGGUUUGAAUUCUGUAUCUGAGAGUUAGGAACGGAAAGGAUGCGACGAGAAAGGGGAGAAUAAAAUAAAUGAAUAUCAUGUGGAAGAUCAUGAAUACUUGUAAUACCAUUUUGUUCAAUCAAAACGAAAAUGCUAGAUUUCGUCAUGCAGAUAAUGCAUCAUUAACUAGAUUACAUAGAUUCAAAGAAACUAAUACUCGUCUUCCCGGGAGAUGCAAUGGCAACAUUAAUACUACCAAAAUCCAGAAACCUUUGACUGGCCUCUAUAAGUUGGAUUGGUUCAUCCACACCACUAAUGUUAAAUUUCGUCUUACAAUUAGCUUCGGCACUAUCAAUGUUAAUUGCUCUCCACUAGAGGUCGAGCAAUCAAAUGUUUGGUCGACUCGUAGUCAAAAUUCACCUAUAAUGAAAACUCAUGGCUUAAAUGUUGAAAUUGUUAAUUUUUUGUUGCUAUAUACGUACUGCGUUUCCCUUUUAGUUUUCAGUAAGGAACCCUUCUGUUCCAAAUACUAAAACGGCCACUUGUUCUCAAUCCUGAAGUAGCGUUAAUCAUUUGAGUUCCUACCAUGCCCAAUGACAAGGAAGAAAACGUAUACAUUCCUCCUAGAUAAAAGAUUUUACCAACAGCCCCCGUGCUUUCUCUGCGAAAGUGGUCAAGUUCGGUUAUGGAGACUAAAAUGCCAUGGGAACUAAUGCUGCUACAUCUUGAUAAUCCAAAUGAGGCUAUUGAUUUCCAUGCACUUCUUUUGCAAUGUGGUAAAGCUUAGAAUUGAACAGCUUCAUCUUGCGUUGUAGUAAACUUUUAUAUAUAAGUUUUUUGGAAAAGAAAUUUCUAACAAAAGAAGAGUAAGAUUUAAGAAGCGAAAAAAGGGGAGGGAGAUUUAAACACAGACCUCUAAGUCCUAGGACCUGGACCAAAGCCUCCUCUACUAUUUUAUACAUACUUCCAAGUUGUAAUAUCCUCUCAUACUUAUAUUACCAUUUAAAUUAUCAUCUAACAAAAAAAUUCAAAAGCACACAUCACAUAAAAUCUGGGCAGCCUCACACUUUGCGUCAGGCCCAAUUCAACUAGUUGACAUCAAAGUCUGACCACUCACACUAUUGAAUGGAAAAUUGUUCGAAAGACUGCUUUGCCGAAUGUCCACUAGUCGAAUGGGCAAGCUCAUUGAGUUCAAAAUCAAAUCAAUUAAGGUGGAAAGAAGGCAUGAUGACUGAAAUUUCACUAGCAACGGUUUACUCGAAUCUUGCUCUGAUCACCAAAAGGAGAAAGUCUUGAAAUCCAAGGCCAUCUGCCCAAUGCCCUGAGAUGAAACUCUACCCACAACCAAAAGAGACCUCAAUCAUCAGGUUAAAGCAACACUACACAUUCAAGAAAUUAGCCAGCAAACAGGAUCUUUUAACAGCAAACGAAUUUAAUGUCAGCUUGUCUACACAAAUUUGUGACACAAGAACGUCAACGAGUAGGUUCAGAUACACGAUGAAAUGUGCUUUAUCAUGAGAAGAACUACCAAUGAGCAUAUUGGCUGACUGGAACACUUCCACAUUUCGAUAUUAGUGAAGUCCAAACAGAACACUUCAGAAUGCAGUUUGCAUCAAAACAACUGAAACAAUCAUCAAGAACCAAAAUGCGCAAGCUAUUUAGAUAAGAGGUGGGUAUUGCUUUGCCUGCUGUCGCACUCUCUUCUUAUACUCCAGAGCAUCCUGCAAAUACAGGUGGCAUCUUAUUAUAUUCAGCAUUUGUAUCUUUACCUUUUCAAAGCAGCUAUGCUCCCACCAGAAUACAUUAAAUCAAAUGACUAUAUAAUUUCAAAGAACUGUAAGUUAGGUCACCAUCUGAUUAGACGUAAAAUGCAACCAAUGGCUGCAAAAUUUAGCAAAAACUAGCUCCGCAACACAUACCCUUGAAUCCACUUCAGCACAUCUGUAAUUAAUAAAUUGAAGAUAAAGCAACACAGUGGCUGACAUAUUUCAGCCAUCUUAUUUGAUCAUGACUUAUCUGCAACUCUAACUAAAAUAUUGAGCCUGGCCAAACAAAUUCAUGGAAAAUAUGGAGUGGCUAUGAAUGAUUCUUUUUUUAAUAUGUUAAAUUACCUGCGACAUCAAAAGAAGAGAUGAACCAUGCAGUUUCAAAAUGUUACUUUUCUCAAUAAAGCGAAUAUCCUACAACAAUGUCAAUACCAAUGGAGCACCGCUAUACUUUGAUGUUCUUUGGUGAAAGGUAUCCAGUUAACAGAAGAAGAUCCUAAAAGAGAGAAAAACUUGCAAAUUCAGCUUCCAGAGAAGACAAGUCACCUGUAUAAAUAGGUGGUAACCAUCAGUUUGUGCAGGAUCAGCAGGAUUCGGUUGAUCCAACAAGUCCUGGAUACCUACUAGGAUUUGCUUCACUGUAAUGGCUGGUCUCCAACCCUGGAGAUGACAAAAAGCAUGCAUCAACUUAUAAUGGAGCCAAAAGUCACGUGUAAAAGAUUUGAUUAAUAUGCCAAGCAGAAUGGUACAUACACUAUCUUCAUUGAGGAUUGAGAGGCAAACGGUCCCAGAAGGAUAGACAUUAGGGUGAAAGAAACCUUGAGGGAAUUUACACUUUGGUGGUUUACUCGGAUAGUCUUCACUGAAGUGAAGCGUAAGUGGAUAAGAACCACCUUCCCAGUCAGUCUGCAGCCAAUAUUGGUAAUACAAGAUUUAUGAUACUCAAUUUGCAAUAAGAAUCAUGAUCAUUUGAGAUAAAGUAGCUUCACGGGUUGAAACAGUAAAGCAGCUAACAUAUAACAUAUUAACCAUUAUAAACUUGCACUGAAUUGAUCCAGUAAACACUGAUUCAGUGACAUCCAAUAAGCCUUGAUAAUGCGAUCGAAAGGAAUUUAAAAACCAGUUUCCAUCACUUCUAGUAACUGCCAUGUCUGAACAUACCUUUCGAAGGAGGAUUAGAUAGAAAAGUUAUUACUACAUAGAGAAGGAGAGCAACUAAUGGUUCAAUAGUGCCCUUUCACCUCUACUCAGAAAUUUUUAAGUAGCUAUUACAAAGGAGACAAACCAGAGUUAAGGUUUAUUUCCAUUCUGAAGAAAGAUAUUUCAUCUAUAACGAUGGGAAACAAAGAAGUGUUGCACUGCUUGUUUUAUUGAUCAUAUAAUUUCCCAAUAAACUUGCUUCAUUAGAGAAAACAGAAUGGACUCUUUUUUAGUUAAUUGCCGAUGAUAGUGUGCUUCAAGUAAAACGCAUGGUAAGAAUCCUAAAUUCCAGCAAUAUAGCUACAGACAUCACUAAGUUCAAGCUAGAUCUUCAGAAUUAUCAUCCAUUCAUUUUUUCCUAGCUAGAAGUGUCAUUUUGGUGGACCAACGCCUAAGUUAAGAUCGACUGCAAAGUAAAAACUCGCCCCAUUUUAAUCUUCGUAGCCAAAUUACCCAUAAGACCAUAACAAUGCUUAGACACCAAAGACAUUAAAAUUUCAUCAAAGAAGCUUAUAAAACAAUAGAAGAAGGUACAGGCAAUAAUACACAACAAAGUUGUGCUAAAGCACAGAGAGAGAGAGAGAGAGAGAGAGAGAGAGAUUAAUAAAUCAGGCAAAAAAAAAAAAAAAAAGAGCAACAACUCUUCGCCACAGCACUGGUCAUUAGUUUUAACUCUUGUCCAGUAUUACAAAAAGAAUACGAAAUUUAAUUUACAAAAUAAAAAGUGAUUCUAGGUUAAGAAACUUACCCCAGGCUUACCAGGAAUGGUGCAGUGCCAAACCAUCAAAUUAACGGAACCAUCUGGAAGUGUCUCCGGCUUGGCCACGAAACCCUAAACCAGUAAAAAUAAACAUAAUUAGAGCUCUAAUUAUUCUGUUGAGCAAAAAACAAUUCAAGACGUUAAUUUAUCGCUAAUAUAAAUAUUAAAUUUUCAUAUUAUGCUGCGUAUAAGGAUAACAGGGAGGAGGCAAAAAAAAAAGGACUCAAACAGAGGGAGCAUGAUCAAACAUGGGGGUGAUUUUUACGCCAGGCUUUGCGUUCCUCGGUGAGACGUCCACGCGCUAUACCUCCCGACAUUUCCGCGCAAUUUUGCCAAUUGAAACCUCCGAAAAGAUUUCUGUUUUACCAAAAAAAGAAGAGAAAAUGAGUAGCCUUCGGAUUUCACGGCUACCGUAGACGACGAGACGACUAGAGAGGGAGAGAAGGAGGCCUGGGGACUGAGAGUGCCCGUGCGAUCGUGUAUUUGGAGUACCGAUCUAAUUAAUGCUUUAUUUUUUUUCUCUCUUAUCAUUUUUAUUUUAAGGAUCAUCAACUUGACUGUACUGAUCACAAUCGACCAACCAACAAUUGGGCUUUAAAAAAUUAAUUAAUAACUAUGAUUAGUCUAAUAAUGGAUUUUUGAUAGGUUAGAAUAUUGGGAUUUCAGGGGAUAGGAAGUCAAAUGGAUUCUUUAUUCCCAGCCUAUAGCGUGAAUUCCACGCCAUUCAUGUCCUCACGUGGAAAAUGCGUGCCAACUGCCAACCGGUCCUUAGGUGGCUGUGGCUCUACCAAAAAAAUAUAUAUUUUUUGUGGCCCCCACGAAAAUGAGAAAGAAUGAGUAAAUUUUCUGGGACGCCGCUCCCAAACCUCGCUUUACACAUUUUCGAUGACUUUUUUAUUUUAUCUAUAUAACGUUCUACAAAAAUACAAUGCAACAGUGCUGCUUUUUUGUCCCGAACUCUUGAAACUUGCAACUCAACGACCUCUUACAUUCCGUACCGAUUCUUACUUUUCAUACUAUACAAAUUCCAAUUCAAUCAUGCUUUAAGUUGAGUUUUCUUUUUUUUUUUUUAGGGAUAAUUUCAAAAACUUGCCUUGAGAUUUUUGAUAAUUUCACUCAAUUCCCUUGAGAUUUACAUAAUUACAAUGACCUCCCUUAACAUGAUAAAAAGACAAUAAUACCUUCAUUAAUUGUCAACUCAUUAAAAAAACCCUCCUAAAUAUUAAAGUUCUCUCAAUUAUUGUCAACCAAUAACUCAAACUAUGAUUUUCUCAUUUAACUCUCUAUCCCCUUUCUUUUACAUCUGAUUUCCUGCCAAACUCAUGUAUUUAUUCUUAUCAACCAAAUGUGUACUAUCGCCAAUAAUAAAAGGGUAAAAAAUCUCAACGGUCACUAAACUAUUGAUCGGAUUAUGUUUUGACCAUCAAACUAUUUUUCGUCAAUAAUUAGCCACUAAACAACUUAAUCAGUAAAUUCAUGACCAUUUAGUUGGUAAUUGCUCUUAAUCUGAAAAAUUAACAAUACACGUGGAAAAGUGCGGGGGCAAUUUUGUCCAACAACUACGCAAUCCUAUAACUCAAUUUUCAUAAACCCAUCGAAGUAAAGAAAAAAAGAAGUGUAAACCUAUUAAACUUCCAUUUUCCAAAUUUGUUGUAAAUAAUUUGGGAUCUCAAGGUUUAGUGUUUUGCAGAUGGAAGAGAAGGGAAAGUCGUGGUUCCCAGGGAGCUCCCCAAAUCGUGGUUGCUUGGGCCUGUUCCUUGGGAACCAAUGGCUAGUGAAGCCAACGAUGCUUCGAUAGAUCAGAAGGGCAUCAUGACCAACCCUCCCAAGGCAAGGCUCUCUCACACUUCCAGGACCUUUAUUGCGAAAAACAGUUGGGGAGGUGUGGGCAGAGAUUCACAAGUCUCAAUAAGAAUACAAGCCCCAGAGUAAUAGCAUCAAUCCGCAAAAUACAGGCUCCUCUCAGCAGCAGCAGAUCACAUUUGGGGAAAUGACUUUGGUAGGCUUCUUAGUUAGAGUAGGGGUGGUACGAGAAUAGACUCAAGCGCCGCUACCGCCGCUGCCUCAACAGCAGUAACCGCCUUACAGUGGUACUUUCUACCAAUGUUGCGAGCUAUCAGUCGAUGCCACAAACGGGGGAUCCAUUUGCUGCUUAUUCCGGAAACAUGAAGAGGAGCGGAGGUUAUACUGCCCAGCUGAUGGCGGAUAUGGACAAGUGCAGGGAUUAGGAAUGGGUUGCGUAGGUGCUAUACAAAAUUGCCACCGUAUUUUGCCACGUGUAUUGCUAAUAUCACAAAUUAAGAGUAAUUAUUGAUCAAAUGACCAUGAGUUUUCUGAUUAAGUUGUUUAGUAGCCAAUUAUUGAUGAAAGGUAGUUUAAUGGUCAAAACAUGAUCCGACCAAUAGUUUAGUGACCGCUGCAAUUUUUUGCCCAUAAUAAAACCACCAUAGACACCAAAACUACCAAUGCUUACUUAUUUUGGUGUCUAUUCCCAAUUCUCCCUUUUCAUCAUUAUUAUUAAAUAGUUUUCUUACCCCCAUAUUUGUUUUCAAUUUUUGAUAGGCAUUAGCAAAUUAAAAUUGUCAAAUGACAAAUUGAAUGAUAAUUUCAUUAUUAAACUAGAUGGAGAUAAAAACAGUAGCAGUGAUAGAAAAAUAAAAAUUAAGAAUAGGAAGUGUAAUAGGAACUAAAUAUAGAUUAUACUAUUAUGGUUGUUAUGAAAAAAAAAUGUUCUCAGUAUAUUUAUAACUGCAUUGUGUUUCUAUUUUUUAUUUACAAUUAUUAAUGUUAUUCCUAUAGAGAAAAUUUGAUUGAUUUUGAACUUUGUGCCAAUAGAGUAUAUUAGACAUUGAUAAUAGUAGUGAUGCCUUAAAUUAUUUUGUAUUCAAAAAGUGAUAGCCAUGGAAUUAAAAUUUAGAGAUAUCGAUGUAUAUUGUCGUGUAUUAUGCAAAAUCUAAUAUUGAUAUGAAACUAUAAGUAAAUUUUUGGAUAUCUGAUGUAGUGUUUAUAAUUGAUAUAAUGAUUUGCAUAAAAAAUUUUUAGGUAAAAAAUAAACAUUAAAACAAAGAUAAGUAUUUAUUUAAUGGUGAUUUGGAUGUUGAUGGAUAGGUAAUAGUGAUAGCAAGUAAGAAUGAAUGAAAUAUAAACUAUGAACUACUUUUUUCCUUUUAUUUUUGCUAUUAAUUAUACAUCAAGGGCGUUAUAGGAUUUUUGAGAAAAAGUCUAGCCUUUUAGACCUAAAAUGUUGCUUAAACAAUGAAAAUAGGGGAGGUAUGCAUAAUUUUUAAAAAUUGAGGGGAGCUUUCUGUGAUUAUCAAAAAUCUCAGUGGAGUUAUGUGAAAUUAUUCCUUUUUUUUUUAAAAAAAAAUUAUACAUGUUUUGAAAAAUGUUCCAUGAGCUUCUUUCCAUAGUCCACACUUUGUAUAAUUUAUUCACACGAGGCACUUGGUCAAUGACAGCGUUCGACGUACGUCGAUUGGCCCAAGGCCCUAAGCUAAGCAUGAUAAUUUUACGAGACUAAAGUUCAUUAUGUUAAAACUCAGAUUUCAAACAAUUAAUUUGUACCUAACAUAUGCUAUAUAGGAUUAUGAUCACUAAUGAGAUAUGUUCCAUCUAUGGGUUUAAUAGCUUAAUUUGGCCAUAAGCUUGAGGACGUGUCAGCCACUUUAUUUUUUUGAGACAAAUGUGAAAACGAGCCUUCUUGUUUUUUGUUCCAAAAUGAAAAAUUAGUAGGGCUGUAAUCGAGUCGAGCUCGAGUAUCACCAUACUCGAGCUCGACUCGACAUAUAGAUAUGGUGUUUGAGCUCGAGCUCGAGUGAGUAGUAUUAUUGGAGCUUGAGCUCGAGUUCGAAGCUUGCUCGUAAUACUUGAGUUCGGUCGAGCUCGAGUUAUUAAAAUUCAUUUUCUUGAUAAUUUUUGAGCGAAAAGACAUUAUUGCCCUUUUAAAAUUUUUAUAUGACUUGAAAUAUUUCAUAAAUUCGACAAUUUUUUUGGGUAUAAGGGUAAUUUUAUAAUAAUAAUAUAUUAAAUAAUUAAAAUUAAAAUGCUCGAUAAGGCUCGUCGAGCCUUCGAGCAUCGCUUCUGAAUGCUCGAACUCGACUCAAUAACCUUAUCGAGCUGCUUGAAUUCGACUCGAAUUGAAUUUGACCGAGUUUGAGUCAAACUUUUGACCGAGCUGCUCGCGAGUAGGUUCGUUUACAUCCCUAGAUAUUAGCCUUCAGGAAUGUAGAGUUCUUUUCCCCCUUUCAGUUUCAGUAGAGAAAAGAAGAGAGAUGGGUAGCUCUUUUAAUCCUUCAAAUCAGCUUCAUACCCUGUUCCGGACAUCUGGUAGCCGGAAAUUUAUGAGAAUUCUUAAAAGAAAUCUUGUGAAGCCAGCUCGAUCUAUCUUAAUAUACACCAAAAAUUAAAUCAAAAAGACAAUUCGCAGCGGGGAUGGAAGAAGUUUCUUUUCCCUUUCAGCAGAAGUUUUAUGUGUUUGUUUCCAACGCAGUUAACCCUCUCUAAACCGAAUGUACAAAACUGCUUUGAAGAUCAAACAUGGCGUUUAAGAAAUUGUUUUGAUAGGUCUAGAAAGAUAUGACAAAACAAAAUGCAUUUCUCCCAAUUUCUCGCCAGAAACCCUAUCAAGAUACUACACUACCUUCAACUCGCACAACAUGCUACUAACACAAAAUGAUUCAAGAACCGCGUUCAGGAUAGGUUAAUCUCAGCUCAAUUUAACUUUUACCUAAUCAUUUACAAGAACUGGCGCUCCUGAAGUUCACAACUUCAUCAGAUACAGGUUAGUGGACAUCAAAUGCACCAUUUUUUUUUUUUAAUCAUCUAAGCCCGUCCUCCUAACAAAGUGAAUGAACAUACUCACGCCAAUCGCUUCAAAUCCCACGAGGGAAGCGUGCUUAUUCCACAAAUGCUAAUCCCAUUCCAGCGUGGCUUUCAGUACGAAAUCCAUUAAAAUUUAUGCUCCAUCCAAUAUCCAUGCUUUGUAGAUGUAAUUGGAAACUAUGAAUAUCCAUUGUACGAAUCCCUUGCGCUGUUGUCUACCAUUGCAGUGUCUUUUAUAUUUUGUAUCAUCUUCAGUGUUUGCCGGAUCGUUGGCCUCUGUUCGGGUGAAGUCACACUACACAAACUAGCAAUCUCAACUAGCAUUCCGACCCAUUUUUCUUCCUCAGAAUCGUCAUCCCUCAUUGCUCUGACCCAAUUCGGCACAUCAGGGGCAGCAAGGAACGGAUGCUGAGAUGGAGGUUUACCAGUCAGAAGCUCUAAUAAGAGGAUGCCAAAGGCAUAUACAUCAGAUUUUGAAGAGGCUCGACGAACAGACUUGCAUAUCUCAGGUGCUUUGUAUCCUGCAGAUUCUGGAUCAUCAAUUAAAGAACUAUCAGCAAGGAUGGACAGGGAGUAGUCGGUUAGACAGGCCUCAAAAUCAGAACCAAGAAGGACAUUGGAGGAUUUCAGGUUGCCAUGAAUGAGCUUUGAUGCUUGAUGGAUGUAAGCAAGGCCCUGAGCCACAUCCUCUGCAAUCUUCACGCACGAUGUCCAGUGAAGAGGUUUAGCCCUUGUUGAUCUUGAACCUUACCAACGAGAUAUGGCAAAGUAAAUAAGAAUAAAUCGAAGACAAUUACUUUUGCCUUUCUAAAGAAAGGAACGUGCAAUGCAUUCUCAGAUUUAUAUUGGCCAUGGACACUGUUCUUUUCUGUACCCAUGAAAGAGUCAUUAUCUAGCUUCAUUUGCAUCAAUGUGUUAAUGGGAAAAGGACAUCAAAGAGAGAACACAUGCAUCAAUUCAAUGGGAAAAUGUAGCAUCUACUUCUAACAACGGAGAAAACAGCUCAUCAAACUUAUGAAAAACAUCAGAUACAGACGAUAUGAGAGGGGAUAUAAUCUCAGUACAGAAGCAAGACAAUUAAUAGUACAGCAAUCAGUUUGCUGUCACCGGUGCCAAACAGAAAAGCAGGGAAAGCAAUUCUAAACUGAUAGACACCCCGUUAUUCACUACUAUCGUAAUUCAGCUAUGAGAUACCAGUAAGUGAUCACUGUGUAGCAUGCAUGGUUCCCCGAGGCAUCUAAUAUUGCCCUUGGUCUGCAAUACCAGAAGUACAUAGAACACAUCUAAUUCUAAUUUGAGUUUAGCAAGUGCAUAGUUCCCCAACUUGAGCAUCCCGGGCACGGAUGCUAGUCUAGCUAUUAGUGUGAGUUUCCAGCUGCCACCACCAUUUUUGAACGAGAAGUUUGACCUAUCACGUCAUUGUUGAUGGAGUGAUGCUGCUACUACUACACAGUACCUACAAUUUCAAUUCUUCCUGUGCCUAAGGGUAGUCCGAAGGGGAAAUGUUUAACGGAACUAGCUUAUUAAAAACUACAGAUAACUGAAGAAAAUAAAAUACUCCUAGAUGAAUGUGCUGCGAGUACCAAGUCCAUCAUUAAAUGACAGCCACAAAUCUGACCCAACGUACAUAAGCUUUAAGGCCUCCGCGAUAACAACCAUAAUAAACGUCUCAAUUAUUGUCCCAUCAUUAUGUACCGAAGCUCGCAUUCUCGACUCUCCAUAUUCACUGAUUCCCCAAGCGGGCCAAGCCCAAUUGGUGGAAAUGGAAUAAGCCAAGCAAUUGACUCGUUAGAGGUCAUCGGUGAGCAGAGGACUGAAUAUUAAUUUAACCAAACCUACUUACACUAACAGACAGAUGCCAAACUGGGAACUGGAAACUGCCAAAACAAACCAUAUUUACAGUUUGGGCGGAUAUUAUUUGAAAUAAUUACCGUAGCAUGAUAUAAUGAUGGUUGAAAAUAUAAAAAGGUGAAUUAAAAAUGUAUUUAUGAUGCAAGCGAAAUAUUAUUUGAGAUAAUUUCUUAUCCAAACAACCAUAUUGUUAUUUGUUGGUGACCUGUUAGCCAUAGACCAGUGUUGACUAAAAGUGGGAACCACCGAGAUGAUCGGCAAUACGGCGGUGGGAACCUAGCUCCGCUCAGAAGGGGUUCUCACUUCUCUGCAACACUAACCAACUGAACAAAAACCUACAACCAUAAAAAGCUCUGGCAGCCGACAACUUGUCAUCGCAAAAAACCCCCCAACACGACUCACCCCACAGCUACAGCUCAAACGCUUGGCACUAAAAGCCAAGACAACAAAAACAAAAACCAGUAGUAGAAGGAGUACAAUUUAAGUAUAACAAUAAAAUUUUAAAAAAAUUUGGGGGGGGGGGGGGGAGGCGAGCUUACCAUGAAUGAGAUUGAAGAGACUGCCAUUGGGCUGAUAAUCAAAGACAAUCAGCCUUUCUUGUUUAGCUUGAAAAUAAGCCCUGACUGGAACCAAAUUGGGAUGCCGAAGCACACCAACGGCAUCCAUAUGCUGCUCAAAGGCCUCCGCAGUGGUAAUAGCAGUCUUGCAAGCAUCCAGUCUCUUCACCGAUACAAUUAACUGGUUAUCCAACACAGCUUUAUACGUAGUUCCAAUGGUUCCCCUCCCCAGCAACUCAGCUGACGCCCUCAUUAGCAGCUCCAGCGUGUACAACUCCGCCUCUCCAUUACAAAACACCAAAUUCCCACUCUUCACCUGCUUGAUACCAUGACUGUUAGUUUCAUGUACUUGAUAUAUUUUCUUCUCUUUCACAAUUCCAUCCUCGACAUUUCCAAUUUGCGUAGAUAUCUCCGCAUUGUUACGACCCAUCUCCGGUGACAAUGCUCUUUUCUUUGCAUCAGCUUGUUCUUCCUCCUUUGGCGUUUUGAAGUAAGCGAAAAUGCAUAAAACUGCUGCAAUCACGAUAAAUACUCCUAUUAUAACCCCUAGGAUCACGCCAACUCUUUUGUGCCUUUUUUUCUGCGACGGAGAAGGGAUCAGCACUUCUCCCUGGGACUGCGAGCUCUGGAGGAGCGGUGCAGGCGGGGCAGCGGCGUCUCCGGCUACCGGAACAGCGUCGAAGAAGGGAGUAGCGCGGCAUGGUCUGUUGAUGACAUCUCCACAGAGACCAGGGUUCCAUAAGAAUGAAGAAAUGGUGAAUUUUUUUAGAGUGGGAGUGACGGGUACUGGUCCGGUUAGGUUGUUAUUGGAGACGUUGAAGAUUGCUAGCGCGGUCUGGUUCAAUGGAGGGAUUGAGCCGUUGAACCGGUUGGAAUCGAGCCGAAGAUAGUUGAGGCGGUCCAGAACGGUCAAAUCACUGGGGAUUGGACCGGUGAAGUUGUUGUGAGAGAGGUCGAGGAUAAGGAGGCGGUGAAGAGAGAGGAGAGAAGGAGGGAAAGUAGCGGAGAAGGAGUUGUGGUCGAGGAAUAGGGACUUGAGGUUGAGGAGGGGAGAAAGGUCAGGAAUCGGACCGGUGAGCGAGUUGUUCUUGAGACUCAAGACUCGGAGCUGGUCGAGGUGAGUCAGAGUGUCGGGGGGAAACUGGCCGCGGAGGCCAAAACCUUGGAGGACAUAACGGACGACUCGGCCUUGUCCGCAUUUAACUCCUUGCCACGAACAGUAGUCAAAACGUUCGUGAAUAGCGUAGAGAAGGUGGUUGUCCAGGUCAGCUUUAGACUUGAAUGAGAGCAGUGAAACGGCGUCGGAAGGGAGUAGGACCAAGGAUGGAGAGGGCGUCGUGGAAAUAGAAAUGGUAGUGGCAGAGAAUAAAGUAGCACUACUAGUAAAGAGUAGAAAACAACGGAGGAGAAGAUUCCCACAUUGUUUUAUUAGAGUAUGCAUGCUGUUGCUGUUGUUCUUGUUGCUGGAGAAGAGGCGUGGGACUGGUUAUUGGACUACGAGUAGUAGAGUGUUUCGUUUUCAUCUGAUUUGAUGGUGUAUUUGUGGUUUGACAACGGGGACCGGAGUUUGAAACUUCGAUCCAUUGGAGCUGAGGAAAGGGAGGAGAACUUGGGUGGCGGGGAGUGGGACUGCUGAUGGUGGCGGAGGGGUGGACUGGUGGUGGGAGCAGAAGACUAGCUGUGGAGGAAAAGAGGGGGGAAAGAGAAGAAGAAAGCGAAAUGGGAAGCAGCUGGCUGCUGGCUGGGCUGUAAUAGUAGUGAAAUACCAGUAGCAUAUCAUGGGUCAGUGUCACGUGAAAGCAGGGUUGAAACUUACAGGCAAAUCAGGGGGAGAAAAUAGAAAUGCAUUUGGGCUUUUGUGUCUCUUUCCUUUCCUUGUAGGACGUGUGCCGCACUAGUUCCUGCCCCUCUCCCAUGGUCACCUGUUUGCUAAAGUCAAUACGUACACAAAAAUCUGCAAAGCUUUAAAAAAAAAAUAUUUUUUUUGGGUUUACGUACUUUUAGCUUUUUAACGUGUUUACAAAUCAAUAGUAAUCUGUGGUUUUACGAAUCAUUAAUUAUCCUCCAAAUUCGCUGCAGGUGCUGGAAAAGUUACCUAAAUAGUGCUUGUGCGGGCAAGAUAACAGAGCCGAGAGUUGUCCCCGUCGAGCUUCUUGCCUGCGACCACAAGGGGAAAUAGAAGGCACCAGGUCCAGCCUCGAGAUUCUCUCAAAAUGACUUUUGUUUGGGAGUCUAGAUGAGAUAGGAGGCAGAUAAGAAUUUGUUACUUUUGAUUGUGAAAAUGGGAGGCGUUUAUACUCCAAGUAUUAGUACGGCUUUCGGAAAAUCAGGGUGACUGAUAAUUUCGGAUUGCUAUCACAUCAAGCGGCUGAAUAAUGUGUCAACCACAAUAUGACUAGAUGUGCAGCUCCACCGGAAAUGGGAUCACAUCUUAUAACUCAAUUUUCACGUGGUAUGUGAGAUUCAUAAAAAUUUGUUUUAAAAUUACGUCGUGUGCAAAAAAAGUUAUACCAUAUACAAUCAAAAUUACGCACAGUAAAAAAUGCACACAACCGACAGAAACAGUUGCACCUGCAACCGUUCGUGCCCCUUGUCCCAGCUCCACCAUGUCGAGGCCAAAAAUAAUAUGGGAUAGCCACAUUUGAGAAACAGGGUAUUUGUUCGUCGAGGUGGUGGCCAAGGCCUCGCAGCACUAAUUUUUCUUCUUCCUCUAAGCUAUAAGUUAUGACUUUAGGAUGAUGCAGAGACAUAGAUAGAACUACAGCGUUCAGCAUGGAAGGAAUUGAUUCUCAUUUGGAAGCCAAAUGUAAAUUGUACUAUUCUUUUUUCUUUUUCUUUUUUUGGCAUUCUCCUGAAGAAUUUUUUUUUAUUUUUUUUUUUUUUGGUAUUGUGUGGGGGGUGGGUUGGUGGCGGGAAGGAGGAGGAGGAGGAGGAGGAGGAGGAGGGGAAGUCAAUCAGGAUGCAGUGUGGUAAACGGGCUAGCCGAAUCCAAAAGCUCAAAAAGAAGGAUGUAGGUAUGGCUUGCAUUUGUAACCGUGGCCUACCUGCUUUGCCUUGUUAAGAAACCCCACUAGCAUAUGUCAAAAGAGUCGUAGUUCUACUGGUGAGGAAGGAGGAUCCUGCAGCUGCUGAAUUUGUCCGUUGUUCCUUGGCUGGGUCUCUUUUCACUUUUUCUUGUUCUUCUGCUCAUCAAUUUCAAGUUGCAGUGCUAUUUGCGACCUGCCGUCAAAACUUAUAUAAUAUCCCCGACAUUAUUAACAUAUAUAUUGUCAGAGUUACCAGUUGAUCGAUCAUGUGAGCUCUGGACACAGCAGCAGUCUUCAGCCAGUUUCCUUCCUCUUAUCCAUGAUUCCAUGUUACAUGCCGUGCCUUCCUGGGAUUAUAGAUGGUUGUCUUCCACUGUCCAAUAUAGGCACCCCGCCGGCCACCGCCACCCAGUCUGAUUGCUGCUGUUAAUUUUGGUUUUGACUGAAAACACAAAAUCCUUGGGUGGCAGAGGACACCGUCCAACGCAAAAUCCACAUACUAUUAUUACACCUCAGGAAGCAUCGAAUUUCUGCUCUGCUCAUCAACCUCAAUCCAUACCUCAUGCAUACUUUGAUCAACCUCAAUCCAUUCCUGAUGCAUAUUUUGUUAAAAGUUGGAAAGUCCCAGCAUAUAAAACUACUACUAAGUACCGGUUCCACAAGAUGCCAUGUCAUGUCAUUGUCAACUUCUUGUAUUUUCGUCGGUUUUAUUGUCUAAAUUCGCACUAACACGGACGCUGAAACUGUGUAUAUAAAUAUAUCUACGUUUGUCUCCCGUCCAAUUUCCUCAAUUACAAAUUGGGAAAGGGAAUGAGUUUCAUUCUCUGUGUCUUCUACUAAUGCCCUCUCUCCUAAUUCUACGCUUCUACCGACACUACCCUAUCAAGUUGGAUUGCUUUUUUUUUUCUUAAUUAUUUAAGCGUUGCCUAAAACUAAAUCAAUUGUUAUGAACAUUUUCAUUUCUUUCUUGACAGCUGAGCGUUUUUCUCGGAAAUAAACCCCCCUCACCCACCCCCCCAAAAAAAAGGGAAAAAGUUGUCAACAUACUACUGCUAUUCUUUCUCUAUUAUUUGCAGGGUGGCUCUUGGUUAUGGAACGGUAAGCAAGGGUACUUCCAAAUUGGAAAAGUAUAAAAGCAAAAUUAUUAGGAUGACCCCUAAACUUUUGGAAUCAUCAAAUUUUAACCACUGACCUAUUAAAAAUCUGGCUUUGACCACUAAACAAUUUUAAGUUUAAAUUUCGGGUUGUUCUGUUAGAUUUAAUUAUUAACUAUGUCUCUUUCUUUUGUCUCGUGAAUCGUACGGGCACUCAGAUUUGGCAUGGUUAAUGAUCAAAUCUAAUGAAAUUGUCCGAAAUUUAAACUUUAGAUAGUUCAAUGACCAAAAUUUGACAAUUCUAAAAGUUUAGUGGCCAUUCGGAUAAUUUGUUCAAAGUAUAAAUAAACUAUGCAUAUUAUUUGAUAAAUAAUUGUUUAACGAAUACCUAAUUUCCACUUGUUAAUACUUCUAAUUUGCAUCUAAUUCAGUAUUUAAAUAGACACAUUCACAUUUGCUCUUAAACUUAGCCAUUUUCCAUGGAUGCCCAAUCAACAUGAUCUAAAAUAGGUUUUGAGUGUUUGCCAAGAGUGAAAUUAUAUCUAGUAAGUGUUUAAAUACAAAGAGAAACAUUAUACAUAAGUAUAUCCAUUAAAUUGAUAAAAUAGAUGUAAAUUAGGCAUAUGGACAUGUACCUAAUGGUGCUUAGUAGAGAAACCCUUUCCUACUUAAUUUCAAAAUUUUCACAAAAUGCAUAAAUUUCCUUCUUAACUCGUGCUUGCUUUGUGCACAUUAGAGAGCUUCUUGAACGGAUAGGUAGCAAUAUUAAACAUUAUGCUAUAAGAAAAGGGUUUUGUUUAACAAGUGUCUAGUGAGAACCAUCGAAAUGCAGUUUAGACAUUACAUUUUUUAAAAAAUAAAAUUAAAUAGUAUAAAUUCAUGAGAUGAAAAUAAUUAAAAGUGUGUGAAUUCACAAUUAUAAGGAGAAUGAAAAGUGUUUGAGAGUCAAGCCAUGGAUCUUACGAGUUGAAUUGAAUCUUGAAAAUAAGUUAGAUGUGAUUUACUUAUACUACGAAUUCCCAUAGAGCACUUACUAGAAAAACCUAUAAAAAAAUAUAUAUAAUCAUGUGAUUUAUUGUAUAUUACCCUCAUAGUAAGAUUGUACUUUAACCAUUUUCUGUAUCAUAUUGUACGGUAGGCUAUUAAAUUUUUUGACAAUUCCAUAAUUUUGGAAUUAAUCUAAUGUUUAACAUGAGUUUCAAAUAUUAAUUUUUUUUUUUUGAAAAUAGCGAAGUUCAAUCAGAUGAGUGUCCAAAUGAAAAGGUUCAGACAAUCAUGUGUAUCUUUUUUAUCUGUAAUGCAUGUUCAUCUUUAUAAUCCUAUACGUAUGCAUAAGGCGUAUCACUGAUUUUAUUUUUUUGCCUUUAUUUAAACAAAUUUCUCUUUUAAGAAGCACGCUGCCACUUUCCUUCUCAAUUUUCCCUUCUUGUUGUCUUUUGACGAUCAUGUUCAAUGUCAAAGUACGGGAAAUGGGAAGGGGUAUUGUGGCAAAUUUGAGGGAGGCAGAGGUUGAACUCUGACCUCCAGCAUCACUGAAGAGGGUGAUGAUCACUGAACCAAAUGGCCAGUGACGAAAGAAGUGCUCCAUGUACUAUAUAUUUUUCGAGACCAAUUCUUAAACUUAAGAACACGUUCCUUGUUAGGAAAUUGGCUUAAAAACUUUUAGGUAGAUUUCUUAUUUUGUGUGGAAGUAACUAGUUUCCUAAUUGGUUUUAGUUACUUGAAAUAGUAGCCAAGAAAUUCUAUUUAGUUUAGGAAAUAAUAUUGAUUUCCAAUUUUAUUUGGUUUUUUGGCAGUAAUGUUCCCUAUAAAUAGAUGGGUUGGCAUACCACACAAGGAGACACGAGGACACACAAUGGACACAAGAGGCAUCAUGUAGCCUUAUACAUGGGGUGUGAGAGAGGGUUCUUGGGAGAUGAGAGAUGGUAUACAAGGGUUGGACUUGGGUUCAAAUUGUAUUCUUGUAUAGGGUUUUCCUCUCAUAAUAAAGAACAGGUUUCUCUCCGUGGAUGUAGGCUCAAUGGUGAAGUCGAACCACGUUAAAUAUUGUGUGUCAUUUAUCUUUCAUGCUUGUGACUUGUUUCUCAUUAAAUUGUUGUGUACUUGAUAUCUCAAUAGUUGUUAUUCCGCGCCUGGAUCCCAACAAGUGGUAUCAGAGUUUGGUUGUGAGACUGGGCUGCUUAAGGUUCAUAGUUGGAUCCUAGUUAACUAUUGAGAUCAAGUGGAUUGGUAGUUGUCACCAAUUGAACAAUUUAAUAGGUGGUAUCCUUGUUUCAAUGGCUUGGGAAAAACCAGUAAUGGUGAAGGAUGGGAAGUCGAAAAGCAUGGAAAUGCUUGACAGUGAAUCUAAGCAGGUGAUUCAAGGGUCAAGGAAAAGGUGGAGUCCAAUGUUGAUUUUGGACGUGAAUCGGUGGAGACUUUCUCACACCUCCAACGGUUGAUUCUUCAUCCCGGUGGAUUUUAGAUUUUGGUUAUGUUUUUUGGGUGGUGUGGCACGUGUCCCAAAGAAAUAAGGAGAUCUAAUUUCUAUGCGCCAGAAGACUCUGACAGGUACGAGUUUUUCGUUUUAGGUGGAGUCUUGGAAACCACAUGUGGCGAGGCAGUCCUGAGGAUGGGAAGAAGUAUGGUGACUUUACCACUUGAUUGCCUCAAUGGUUAGGGUUAGAGCUCACAGAAGGGAAUCCCAGAUUGCAAGUGGUGGUGAGAAGAAAUCCUGCAAAGGGAAAUGGUGAAUUGAUGCACCUUCUCACGAGUCAACUGGAGGUUGGACUCGGGGUAACUACACAUGUUCAUUUGCCGAUUGAAUCAAUUUGGUGUCAGGGCUGUAUUGAUUCAGGUGUGUAGUUUGGUACCAUAUUAUUUGGUAGUUGAAGACAAAUGGUUGCUAAAAGAAAUUUUCGCCAAGGUGGAGAUUUGUUAGGAAAUUGGCUUAAAUUCUUUUAGGUAGAUUUCUUAUUUUGUGUGGAAGUAACUAGUUUUCUAAUUGGUUUUAGUUACUUGAAAUAGUAGCCAAGAAAUUCUAUUUAGUUUAGGAAAUAAUAUUUGUUUCCAAUUUUAUUUGAUUUUUUGGCAGUAAUGUUCCCUAUAAAUAGAUGGGUUGGCAUACCACACAAGGAGACACGAGGACACACAAGGGACACAAGAGGCAUCAUGUAGCCUUAUACAUGGGGUGUGAGAGAGGGUUCUUGGGAGAUGAGAGAUGGUAUACAAGGGUUGGGUUUGGGUUCAAGUUGUAUUAUUGUAUAGGGUUUUCCUCUCAUAAUAAAGAACAGGUUUCUCUCCGUGGAUGUAGGCUCAAUGGUGAAGCCGAACCACGUUAAAUAUUGUGUGUCAUUUAUCUUUCAUGCUUGUGACUUGUUUCUCAUUAAAUUGUUGUGUACUUGAUAUCUCCAUAGUUGUUAUUCCGCGCCUGGAUCCCAACAUUCCUAAUCUCUAUAAGAGGAGAGAAUUAGAAUUUCACGUUCACAAAUAUAACAUUUGAAAAGUAUUUUCGAUAGAUUAAUACCCCACACAGAAAAAAGCAUAAUCAAUCAUUCGGGGUUGCUCCAUGCAUCACCACCCCUCAGCUACCAUAUAAACACGGAUUGUUGGAGCGGGCUCAAAUCCCUGAAUAUAUACAUAUCUGAUUCAAAAAAAAAUCCAAGUUUGUUGAACAAUCUGCCUAACCAGUAUUAUAACUAUACCAUCAGGAGCAUCAGGGAACUCUACACACACACACACACACAGAGAGUAAAAUGGCUUUCAAAUUAAGCAAACAGUUGGAAGUUACUUUGCCUCCCAAGUAACUUGGGAGACAAAUGAAAAGUUUUCAACGCUUAAAGAAGAAAGAAAAAGGGCUGCAAUUUUUAUGGCCCGGCCUUAAAAGACCAAGCUUAUCAUUCAGGUGCAAAGAGGAAAGUGAUCACUCAGCUUUGUUUUUGGAUCUUAAAGUAACUAUUGGGAGGUAAUUAGGUAAAGCAUAAACCUUUUUCCUCUGAUUCCUACGACCAGUUCUCCUAAAGCAACCAACUUUCAUGGGUUUCAAUAAUUUGUGUACAACGAUCAAAUUUAGCAGCCUAGCCAGCGCCCAUCCUGUAAGGCAUUUGCUUUUUUCAUAAUGGGCGAGCUGCUGUCUCUUCCUUUCUUUUGACUUUCAUUGGGAAAAGAGCGCCUACUGGAACUUCUAUCUAUCUAAUGAUUCUUUUUAUCGCCAAGUUCCUAGUGGGGAUCGAAAUAAGAUUAAAGUUAAAAAAAAUAAUAAUAAUAAAUUGAAGCAUUCUCUGAAGGAAGAAAGAGAGUUUUUAUCUAGUAACUAAGGUUAAAAUUCCAAAAAUUUAGAGGUUUAAAUCCACUUCUUCCUUCCGUUUUUUUUUUUUUUUGGUUUAAAUCCCAUCGUUCUCCUAUCUUUUUUUUUUUGGGGGGGGGGGGGGGGGGGGGGGGGGGAGUAAGAAAGAGACAAAGAGUAGCUUACUUACACGAGCAACCCAAUUAUCGCUUAAGGCGGAAUUCUUCUCAAGGUCAUCAGGCUAAUUAAUGGCAAUUAACCGGAAAUUUAGCCACCCAACGCUAUCAGAAUUAUGUUGAUGUGACGUCUCGUAUCUGAACUAACACCCUUUUAUUAACUCCAUCGGAAAAAUCUGUUUUCCGGUAACUUUGCAUGAUUGAAUUCAGAUUACUAGGCAAGUUUCAUUUUGUAUGGGACUGGCUAACCUAAAAUCACACACACGGGGGCAAUCUGUUCGUUGAUUCCACUCCAUAUGCAUAAUAAAUAAACCAGCCCCGCCCGCCUUUUCAAAGUUCUACUAACAGACUUGGAUUCUUGGAAUGAGUUCUGUAAUCUUUACCUUCUUUUCUGUUUUCCAUUUGUAAAAUAGCGCAGGUAAUUCCGGGUUCCAACUCCUCAGAUGAAGAUCAUGAAAGGUGCCUGCGUGCGUUUUCUUUGACAAAACGGAAUCUAGCAGUUCAUUGGUCCCCCUCACAACUCCAUAAGAUGAUGCUACCGUUUUAUAAUAGAGAGGUUUCUUGAAAAAUAAUGGUAGAAUCAUCAAGGAAAAGCGACUUUUGGCUUGUAAUUAGUUACCGGGUCGCUAGAACCAUACCAAAUACCUCCUCUCCUCCACCUGCUCCAAAGUCCAACCACCCCUUCCUUCUACCUCCACUAAACCACAACAUCCAUAGAUCUAGAUGAUGGAGCUGCUAAUCCACUCUCAGAUGAAGAGCAUUUGUCAAAAUCAGUGAAACUUUAUAUCAUUGCCCCAAUCAACUAGAGUCGUAUCUGCUUCAAUUCACUGAAAGUGAACCAAUUAAAGAUACAAAAUAUAUAGCCGCCAAUCCUAGCUGUAUUGGGUGGGGUUUGGACUGUCAUCUUCAUGUUUGACAUGUACCCUCUUGCUUCAACGUCUAUUUCGCCCUGUCUUUAGUUCUCGGCAUCUUUAAAAUCACACAACUUUCUCUCAUUAAUCCCCACGGGGGAGGAAUUCAGAACUCAGAACUCCAUCUGGAAUAUAUUGUCUGAAUCUCUCAACCGACAAAGGGGAAAUGAAGAACAAUCUCAGCAGCAGCACGAAGCUUAUCCUCCUCCAUCCUUACAUCCAAAAGCAGGGCAGCUCCAAUAGGCUAUGGCUUCUUGCAUUCAUUUCAUUCUUCACUCUGGCCUUCCUUCUCACCCUGAUUUACACCAGGGAAUCCAUCACAGCUACAACAGCUGCGGCUGCCUCGGCUACAACUGGCUCCAGCAUUAAUCUUCCGCUGUCGAGUUCCGUCGUGAGGGCGCUUGUUCACUAUGCUUCCAACUCCAACAACACCGAUCACAUGUCCCACACCGACAUCAAACAGAUAUCCGAUGUCCUCCAGAAAUGCCGGAGCCCGUGUAAUUUCCUGGUGUUCGGCCUGACUCCUGAAACCCUUCUCUGGAAAGCCCUGAAUCACAACGGGAGAACAGUAUUCAUCGAUGAGAAUCGGUACUACGCUGCGUACAUUGAAGAAAAAUACCCAGAAGUCGAGGCCUACGACGUGCAGUACACUACCAAAAUAACAGAAGCGAAUGAAUUGAUUGCAGCAGUGAAGGAACAAGUUAUGAAUGAAUGCAGGCCGGUGCAAAAUCUCCUAUUUUCCGAGUGCAAGCUCGGGCUGAAUGAUCUGCCUAAUCAAUUUUACGAAGUUGAUUGGGAUGUUAUUUUGGUAGACGGGCCUCGAGGGUACUGGCCAGAAGCGCCUGGCCGGAUGUCGGCCAUCUUCACGGCAGGUGUUCUGGCUAGGAGCAAAAAAGGCGGGAAUACAAAAACGCAUAUUUUUGUGCAUGAUUUCAAUCAAAAGGUGGACAGAACCACCAGUUAUGAGUACUUAUGCAAGGAAAAUUUGGUGAAAUCCAAAGAUAUGCUCGGACAUUUUGUCCUGGAAAGAGCGGAUGCGAAUGUUUUUCAGUUCUGUCGCAGCAAUUACACCUCAUCACCAGCUUCUUCAUCAUCAUCGUCGUCGUCGUCGUCGUCGUCGUCAUCUUAGUUGGUAAUGUGCGUGUCAACACAAAUAAGUUUAGUCCUUUGCCAAUGAUCAGGAGGCGAACAAUUAGAUUACUCCUAUUUAUCCAUCUUUCAAAUUUUGACAUUUUGCUCGCUCCACCAGCUGCUGCUGUUGGUUGCAUGUAAAAUAAAAAUUUUUUUUUUUGGGUUUUUGGCAUGUAAAAUGUUAAUUGUUUGUGUUAUAAUUUUCAUAUGCAACCUGAAAACUUGAAAGGAAUCAACAAUUUGAGUCGUGUCGUGGAAGUUUUAAUUUCUGCUCGAGGAAGAUAAAAACUUGGAAACUACUAAAGUGCUGCCUGGAUUGGCAUACAGAUUACUAUUAUUCUGUACCUAAUCCAUUGAUAUCCUAUAUAUUACUCUACAAUCUCUGGGGAGAAGGUGCGGCAGUACGUUAGAGAAGUACCUGCAAUUUGUUCAAAAUAGACAUUUUGUGAACAAAAUGUCUAUUUUGAACAAAUCGCAGGUACUAUAUAUAUAUAUAAGGUUCAAGGAAUACUAUAAGCUCUGUUUGGAUUGGUCAUUUUUUGAAAAACAACCUCAAAAACAUCAAAAACAACUUUAAAAAAAAACCAAAAACAUAAAAAAAAAAAAAAGCAACAUCAAAAAUAUAAAAAACAACUUCAAAAAUAUAAAAAAUAACCUCAAAAAACACCAAAAACACAAAAAAAUAACCUAAAAAAUAACCUCAUUUACAGCAAAAAGUUUUUUACUUACGUUGCUACAGUAAAAUAUUUCAAAACUACCUCCAAAAACAGCCAAUCCAAAUGGAGUCAUAAUCCUUUGAGAAGGGAAGGGGAAGGGGUAGGGUUGAGAUUUAAAACCAAUGACUUAAAAGUUCAACUUGGAAGACAUUAAUUUCUGGGCUUUUUUUUUUAACGUUCCAGUACCGCCAAGGGCCCAAACUGCCAUUCCAUUUCCAUUCAGAGCCUAAUUGCUUCUUAAAAACAUGUGAUGGGAUUCCUACAUGUUGUUGAAGUUGAGUCGAGCAAUUCUUUUUGUGAGGCUACAUUUCAAUUUGAAUACCUCAAAAUUUGGAUUCGAUUCAAUUCUUUUACAAGAUGUCCAGAAUACUCUGGAAUCUCAAUCCAAUAGAAUGAUAUAGUUACUCCAGUGGAUUUAUCCCUCGUGAAUAAAAAUGGGGAACUGAUUUUCUAAUACCAAUGGGCACUAGGUUAGCAAAGAAUCAUAAAUAUUGAUCCUUUUUUGUAACUACGCUAAUAUUGGGUGACAUAACAAAUUUUAUUUUUAAGUAGGCUCAAUUUAGAAAUGCCGUUUACCCUCACGAGGAAUAAGUAAAUCUCUUUAAUUCUUCUCUUCCACCAAGUGUGUGUGUGAGAGAGAGAGAGAGAGGACUUAAAAGAGUUGUUUUUCAAAAAAAAAAAAAUUGAAAGAGUUAAUUAAAAGUUUGGGGCCUUGGUUUUGGGGGGUGUUUGGGGGGAGGGGGAAAGGUCGGGGGUUAAAGUGAAAUUACACAUAGUUAUUAUGUGACAAGUGCGAAGCUGCAGGCCGCAACGUUAUCAUAAUGGCAUGUGUUGCCAAUGAUCAAGUGACGAUGUUUACUCGGUUGGCAUCUUUCUCCUUGAGUUGUAGUCGGGGGAUAGAAAAGAGAACCACAGAGCUCCAACAACACCAUCGCAAUGACCACCGACUUUAAAACCCUCCCCCUUAUAGGUAACAAAUUUCUUUCACAAAACCCAAGAAUUCUUUUCCCGUCAUUUUCUUUUUGCCAUUUGUUGCAUAAUUUCUUCACUAUAGUUAGCCACCCUGCAAAGAUAAGGAGAUUAAAGAAAAAACAUGACCAUGGUUUCUUUCCUAAUAGUUUUCUUUUAUGCAGUUUCUUUCCUAAGUUGAGGAACACAGAACAAAAGUGGCAGGGAAAAAGCUAAUUAUGUUAUAGUAGUUUAGUUACGUUGAUUGGAUUCAGGGAACGGGAAUACUCAGUCGUUUUCCGGCUUCGUUACCCUGGGAGGAAAAAGGAUCUUGACUGUUGUAUUUAUCUGUAAUUGUCAGCGCAAGGUUUUGAAUAUCCAAAUUGCUAUUUUGGUCUCUUUUUGUUGCCAUUGUUGAACAUAUCCCUGCUGAAUAUUUUACGAUUUCACUUAAAGGGAAAUUGUAUUAUCACCAUUUAAAGUCCUAAAGUUUCAAUUUCUGUCUCUAAAAAAAAAAAAAAACUCUUGGAUGUUGGUCAUAAAGGUCACGCUACUUGGUUGAGUACUACUAGUAUAUGAGAACUGACAUUUGCUCGUCUAAGUUGUUUGCUUCUUCUGCUUCUUUGUUUGAAUCUUGCCUAGAUGUUAGUCCUCUUUUGGAGAAAUGGGAUGAUCCAAGCAUGGCUCAAGACAAAGGCGUGGCCGAUGUUGUGCGACAGUUGGGUCAGGCAUGUAAAGAAGCAGGAUUUUUUUACGUGGUAAUUUAUUAUGCUUAAAUGACAUUUUCGUGGUCUUUGACCAUGCAUACUUAUAACAAGAAAGCAUGUAGCAUUUCUUGAUUAAAGUAUCGAGACACUUAGAUUGUUCUACGCUGGUUUAUUUUAGUGGCUUAGAUGGCAACCAAUUUUAGUUUACUGGCAUACGAAUGCAAAACUAGAACUGCUAGGGUUCAUGAAUUUAGGAGGCUGCAUUACUAGUUGAAUAUUUUCAUCUCUGUUUCUUACCUAGGCAUGUAGGUAGAAGAUGGUCCUGUUAGAGUUCAUCUCCACCUGUUUGAACUGCUUCACAAGUAUAAUUUGAUUUUUUUUGCGGUACUUUAGUUUUGAGUCACUCACAAGGUACUUGGAAUACCUACAACCUCUUCUUUUCAACCUCUCUGCUUCUCAUUCUGUCUACUAAGUGUUUGUAUAUACGCCUAAAGUUGACUUUGGAUUGCACAGAAGGGCCAUGGGAUCCCUGAUUCCCUUGUCAAAGAGGUCAGAAACAUAGCACAUAGAUACUUUGAUUUACCUUAUGAGGAGAAAAUCAAGAUCAAACUCUCUGCAACAACUGGAUACAGGUUUGCUUCUUGUGGAAUGAUUUGAUAUCUAGUAGGGUAUAUGUAGGGUCAAUAUUUUAGUUCCGAUUCAGGCUUCAUCCUUUUAUUUCUUACUAGGAUAACUUAACAUUUUGAUUGCAGAGGAUAUCAGCAUGUUGGAGAAAAUAUAACCAAAGGAGUACCUGAUAUGCAUGAAGCUAUUGACGUAGGUUUUACUUUGCUCUAGGUCAUACUAUCAUGGAGAUUAUUCUAUAUAUGUACUUUGUCUUGCUGAGUUUGAAUUUUUGGUAAUUACAAAUUUUAAUCUUUCAUUAACCUUGUAAAACAUAUAUUUACAAACCUUUGCUGGCUAUAAAUCUGGUAAUCUAUCUGUAGAAUGAAGGGCCUUGUGAACACUCAAUCGGUCCUGCCAAUGCGUGUGCAAGUUCAAGCUGAGUUGAAUUUGCCUGCCUAACUGUACCUUAUUAAGGCUUUCUGUGCUGGGGACUUUAUCUUACACCUGCUGUUCUAGAUGUUAUUUGGACAUGUUUUUAUCAUAGUGAAAAACCAAAUAAACACUGCCAUGGGAAAGAACUGGGGAUGCUUGGGUUCGAAUAUUCCUUGACAACAAGCUGUUACCGACUUAAUGCGUCGUACUAAGUUUAUAUGAUAAUUCCAGGGUCAUUUUUUGAAAUUAGUGAAGGAGAGGGACAUGCUGAAGCCAUUAGGCAUCAUACAUAUGCUGCAUCUGUUGUACAUAGUGUCUUCAUGAAUUCAACAUCUCAAAGUACGCAUUAUCUUUCCUUUCUAACAUUUUUAUGCGGAAAAUUAUGUUUUCUGUAUUCAUGAAUCAAAUAAAACUCGCUCCUCAAUUACAUGAAUAAUGAGACUAAAACUGAAAUGAAGCUAGAUGUUUUCUUCUGCUUCUUAGUUCUGGAAAAUUUUAGAAUAAUAUAAACUGUAUCUUUUUUUGUUUAUUUUCAACCUCUAUAUUUCUCAUUUUCCUUUUUUUUUUUUGUUUUGGAGAAUAUCUGUGGUGAUCACAAUGAUAUAGUGAACUAUAUUUUGUAGCUUUAUAUUUUGCAAGCAAAGAAUAUGGAUGUGGUUCGUGUUAGCUUAUAUGCUAUCAUUAUGCUCUUGUAGCUCUUGCAGCUUUCCUCAUCAAUUUAAUCCUCCAGAUCAUUUUCAGUCUUUUGCUUUUGGAUAACAGUGCUAUAAAGAAGUCAAAAAAGGAAUGUAUGGAGCUCUUGGUGAAACUAUGCAAGGUUCUAAUAUAUGGUAUGUGAGAAGCCAAACUGUUGUCUUUUAUGGAUAUGGCAUGAAGUUGAAACACCAUUGAGGGUUACAAGUGCUUAUCCAAACAAGAAAGAAAGGGAAAAAGAAAAAAAAAUUAAAAAAGGAACUCCACAACCUAUCACAAUUUACUCUCUCUCUCUCUCUCUCUCUCAUCCAAAACCACAGGCACAACAUUCUAGUAUUCACAUACUUGGUAAGCUUGUUAUUUUUCUGGAAGAAUUGAGUACUGCCUGCACAUGGUAACAAGUAUCUUUCCUGGUGUGAAUGACAUAUUGUUACCUUCUGUAGGCCAAGUCAUCCGCCGAAUUUCAAAAAAUUGAUGGAGGAGUAUGUCAACCUUUGCACAGGUGCAUUUUGAGUGAAAUUAUAUACCAUUAGCUGGGUUACUGCUUUAUCUCUGACUCCAGUCCAGUGAAUCUGACUUGAAAGCUAAAUGUCGACAGAGCUGUCUAGAAAAAUUAUGCGGGGAAUAGCUCUGGCAUUGGGUGGAUCACCAGUUGAAUUUGAAGGGACAAGAGCCGGUGAUCCAUUUUGGGUGCUGCGUAUAAUUGGCUAUCCUGGUGUCUCCCCUGCAAGUGGCCAAGACAUGCCAAAAAAUGAUAUUGGAUGGUGAGAUUGCUGAAGAUGGAUUUCAUCUUCUUUUAUUUCACUUCUAGCACUUGAUUGAUGUGAUUUUGUGCUUCUUUAUGUCUUUUAUCCAAAUGAAUGCAGUGGAGCCCAUACGGACUAUGGUAAGAUUCCCCAUCCUUGUUUGGUGUAAGCAUGAGGUGUUCCUAUUUAUACGUGAAGAUGAUCUGUUGUUCUAUACCAGGUCUGCUGACGUUAGUCAAUCAAGAUGAUGGUAUUACUGCUCUUCAGGUAUCGCCCUCCUGUCUACUUUCUUCUUUAUUUGCCUUCAUUUUUUAGCAUUAGUGUGUAUCCUGAAGUUCUUCGUGUUAAACUUGGGUCUGUUUCAUUAGUUUCUGCUUGAAAUAUGCAUGUUUCUCUGUGUUCCAUUGACGCCACUCUGCACUCUUAAAACUUUCAUUAGUUUCUGCUUGAAAUAUGCAUGUUUCUCUGGUUAUUCAUUGUCACUACUCUGCACUCUUAAACUAGUCCCUUUGUAGGUAAAAAACGUUUCCGGAGAGUGGAUAUCAGCACCACCCAUUCCUGGGACAUUUGUUUGCAAUAUCGGUGACAUGCUGAAGGUAUGCAUCUCAAUAAUUGAUUCUCCAGUGGUUUUCAUACUGUUAUCCGAUAACUGUUGUUAAUAUUUGGGAAUCUUCAGAUUCUAUCCAAUGGCCUUUAUGAAUCAACUUUGCAUCGGGUGAUUAGCAACUCUCCCACUUAUCGGGUCUGCGUGGCCUACUUUUAUGAGGUAAUCCUCUCUCUUAAUUUUCCUUUUUUAUUUUGAUUCAGCUUCUUAAUCAAUCUCCUUGGUUUUUUUCACAUGAAUAGCCAAACUAUGAUGCUGUAAUAGAGCCAUUGGAUGCAUGCGUAAAACAAACUGGUGGAACCACAAGGUUUGAAGUUGCUGUUUACAGUAAACACUUGGUCAGUAAAGUCCAGACAAAUUUCAUAUACUGAGGAAUGAUUCUCCCCGUUAUGUCUGUUUCGACUGAAUCUCUCACAUUCACGAAUUUUGGGGAUUUCAUCUGUUAGCCGUUGAAAGAAUGUACAAUAAUAUCUGUGUUUAUUGGAAUAAGUUGUCGGUUGAUUCAGUAUGACAUGACCUCAUCAAGUUCUCGGAGUUUUUUGAACUCUGUACCUAGCCGAUGCCCGUUUCUUUCAUUUGGUCUUGCCUUGAAUUGUGCAAUUAUGUUGGCGUAUCAGUAUUCAUAAAGCACCUUCAACUUUGGAACAUAAAUAUAAGCUGGUUGGCUUAGGCUUUAACUAUAUGUAUUAAUGACAGCGAUGGUUUACUGUAUACACUUGUAAAAAAUUUCGCUUACGGAGGAAGAUUUUUCUCCUCCAGCUUCUGACAACAAAAUACAUACACACACUAGUAUUACAGCGUAAUGAUAAGGUAGGCAUUCAGGCGGCUGGCUGCCGACACCGAAAUUCACGAGCCGGGCUCUUUUAAAGCAGCAUAUGUCGGCGAUGGAGGCCUUGCCCGCUUGGGCACAUGAUCGGAUGCCUGUGGUGGGCCCUUAGAAACAUUAAUGCCGCAGGGCACGUAGUUGAGCGAUUUCGGGUCCGGGCAAGUCCAGUGCUUUGAGAAGAAAGCCUUGCAUUCCUCGGGGCUUCUUUGGCAAGGAAGGUCUAGAAUGCAAUUCAUGGUUACGUUCAGGACUUUCUUCUCGAUUAACUUCCUGCAUUCUGGUCCGACUUGAGUGAAGUAAUUGAACUUGAGGUCCAGUACCUCCAGGUCGCCCAGGAUGCACAAGCUCUCUGGAACCGCCCCGUAGAAUUGGUUGUACGACAAGUUCAGCUGCUGAAUAUCCUUCAAGCACCCGAAUGAUUGUGGAAUGGGACCUGUCAAUUGGUUUAUGCUGACAUCCACAAUAUGUGUUUUAUUCAGAAACCCAAUCUCACACGGUAGGCAACCGGAGAGGCUGUUGUUUAAGAAAAGAACCUCGAGGAGAUUUCUGGAAGUUUGGCCAAUGCUCCUGGGGAUUGGGCCGGUUAAUUCGUUGUUUGCAAAGGUGAGAUAGAGUACAGGGGUUUGGCCAAGAUUGUCGGGGAUGUUUCCGCAGAAUGCGUUGUUGUUGAGGAAGAGCACGUCCAGGUCUAGUGUGAAGGCUUGAGGCGGGAUUGUCCCCGUUAACUGGUUGAACCUGACGUCCAGGUAUGUCAAGUUGGUUGCCCCUAGGGCUGCAGCGGGGAAAGCUCCUACGAGCUUGUUGUUGCUCAGGUCGAACUCGAAGAAGUUUGGAAGUUUGGAUAUUCCAAAGGGAAUGUCACCUGUGAAGUUGUUGGAGUUGACAUGGAAGAUUACCAGGUCCUUGAGAUCUUCAAUGAAGUCUGUUGCAACGAGUGGGCAGCCAGGUCCGCCGUUAAAGUUGUAGCCAUUGAAAUUGACGCCAACGACUCUAAACUUGUUGUCUUUGGUGCUUCUGUCGCAUACGAAGCCUUUGUAUUUGGAAUUGUCGAAACAGAUGCGCUUGCCCGUCCAGGUUUUGGUGAUGCCAAAAGGGUCGUACUUUAUUCUCCUUUUGAACCUUUGGAUUACUUGGAUGGCCAUUUUUAGUUCCUUGGAAAGAGUAAAUGGAGGGGGCGGUGGCGGUGGAGGUGGUGGACAGGGAGGAGGGGGCGGAGGUGGUGGUGGUGGCGGCGGCGGGGGUGGUGGUGGACAGGGAGGAGGGGGUGGUGGCGACGGGGGUGGCGGUGGUGGCGGUGGUGGCGGCGGUGGGGGUGGUGGUGGACAAGGAGGAGGGGGCGGUGGCGACGGGGGUGGAGGACAGGGCGGAGGUGGUGGAGGUGGACAGGGUGGAGGGGGGGGUGGAGGCGGAGGCGGAGGCGGUGGACACUUGGCCUUGGGGGGAUGCAUUGGAGGAUAUGCGGGCUUUGGAGGGGGAGGGGGAGGGGGCUGUGGGCAAUGUUGGCAUUCUCCAUUGUCAGGAGGGUAGGCAGGGGAAUAGGGAGGACUGCCACCCCCUAUGACGAUUUGGAGUGUUUCCCUGUUGAUGGGGGUAGUUGGUGGAGUACCAUUACCAACGACUUGAUAAAACCAGCAAGAGUGCAGGAUAACAAAGAAGACAAGAAGAGGAAAUGUGAGUGAGAAAGUGCUCUCCCUCUCCAUAUUCCAACACUUCUGAUGAUUGAACCAGGAAGAAGGCACAACGUAUAUAUAAUAUGCUGAUGGGGAGGGAAUGGAGGACCCAAUGAUCGGUGAGGUUUAAUGCGGGUGGUUCAGUGAUUUGAUCCAUACUGCCAAUAAAGAGGCUUAAUGCGGGUCCUUCAAUAAAGAGGUUUAAUGCAUUCUCCAUAUUCCAUUUUCUGUUGUUUUGGGCACCAUGAGUGGGGAGGCGUCCUCAUGCAAUAUGUAGAUUCUUUCACAUACAUACAUAAAUUUAAAAAAAAAAAAAAAAAAGAUCGAAAAGAUAAAUAAUAUGUUAAAAAAUGUGUUUAUAAUAAUACAAGUAAAUAAUUUUUUGAUAAAUAAGCAUUUUUAAUCGUAAAAUGCCAUUUCUGCAAUUGUGAUCUACUCUCAGAUAGUAUUGGAUUUUUAUUUGUAGCAAGGUAGGCCACCAAAGUGACAUCAGCCGUUUCAAAUGCUAAGGUUAUGUUUGGAUUGCAUGAAAAAUGACUGUAGCGAUUUGAUAUAUGUGAGGGAAAAAGGUGAUAGGGAAAUGUGAUCACGGAAAACGAUAAUAUUUUCCGACGAAAACCUUCAAUCCAAGCAAGGCCUAAGUUCUCCGCUUUUUCUUUAUUAAAAAAGGUAGGCCGUCUUUUAUUCUUUCUAUUUUCUUUUCUGCUUUAACGUGAAGAGUGUCUUUUUUUUUUUUUUUCAAAAGCUUGAUUUUGAUUGUAAACCUGCCCAUCCGUUCCGAAAAUAUUUAAGAUUUACCGGAAAAAAAAAAUAAAAACUACAACUCAUUAGCUACAGCUAUCUUUACUCCGAUCUACUUAGAAAUAAGAACGACACUUUCACUUAAAAAAAAAAAAAAAGAAAAAAGAAAGAAUAAUACGUCGAUAACACGACGCACUUAGCUAGCACCUGCAACGGCUGUGAAUCCGUUCCCUUUCAAAACCAAAAAGUCAGUUGCCCCAGCGCUCCGCUUUCACAAAAGGCAAUACCUACACAAACGGCGCAGCAAGUAGGGGAUAGUAACCAGUAGGACAAAACUUCGCAUGAUUGACCUUUCAACGAGGAUCUGUCCUCUUACUAUUAUUUCCCUCCCAAUGCAAUUCCGGAGGAGCCAUCCCAAUCGUCAAUACAUCCUACUUCCAAUCUUGUGCAUGUGCACUUCCUCCUUGAUGGCCUACUGUGUCGCAGUUGACGUGUGCAUCCCCAUUCGUCUAUUCUCACCGGCAUAAACAUUUUACACUCAAUUUUGUAUCUGCACUAACAAACUGUUCCCCUAAUAUAUCUUUACAGGCUACUCAGAUGCCAAGGAAAAUUAAAUAUCUUCAAGAGGGAACAAUAGGUUCCACUCUGCCUUUCCCACAGUUCUAUAACUGCCCUUUUUUGCUGUCUUCUCUGGACGAGUUCUAUUUUCAUUCCAUCUUUUACUAUUUUAAUGCAAACUUGGGCCAAAAAAAAAAGGGGUUCAUGAAUCCACCAAGUUAAGGUAUUUAAAUUUUCUGGCACAAUUUCACCACCAAAGUAUUCCUUUAAAAUUCCUAAAGCUUUGCCUUCAACAAUGAUGACCAUCCAAUCUGCAGCCUAUGUCAGAUAGUGAAGCAGCAAAAAGAUAAAAGAGGAAAGUAGAAAACAAGGCAGCUAAACGUGAUGCAUGAAAUUUCAACUGUCAGUGGCACUCGUAUGGUUUCUAACUUGUCCGACACUGGCGCGCACAGUUUUGCUAACACACUAGAUUUUACUGCACUUUUGUCUACAAAGAGAUGUCUAAAUGCUACUGAUAGGAUAGACGAAAACCACUACUCUGCAAAAGGAAGGAAGAUGGAACUUCAUUAUGAUUACAAAGAGCGCUAUGGUGAGAAAACUAAGCAAUCUUUAACCAAAUUCAAUGAAGCCAAGAACAGAAUGACACUGAGGAAGCAUAUAGUGAAACAGUGUUUCACACCGGCAAAUGUCUAAGAAAUGCAAAAGCUAAUACAAUCAACUCAGAACAAGUUACCCUUGGAAGGCACUAUUACCUCACCAACAGCACUGAUCAAGCAAAUAAAUUUCUUCAUUAGCUUGCAACUCUUCAGGCGAAAGAUUGUAAAAAAUUUUAAGCUAAAGUGCUGAUUACCAAGCAACAGAGUGAAGUACAUUCAUGAUACUUUAGGACCAUGAUUAACAAAAUUUUCCGGCUCAAAAGCCAAAUAAUGGCAGAAGAAGGAUAAAGUAACUUCUCUUACCUCAUCACAUGUCACAGGAAGAAUCAAGAGGUACACUGAGGUGUUGUAAUCAACUCUCAUGCUGUUAACCUCCUCAUUCAACUACUUGGACAUUACUUUCACUAGUAGCAAGCUAACAGCUAUUGACUAGCAGUAGAAAGAAUAACAGUGUAACUCAACCUCCUCAGACACCACUUUGGCAGAAUUCUAUACAACAGCAAGCCUCAAAUAUGAAAUCUCUUCCAGGACCAUAAAUCUCAUGUCGCAAAUCCAUUUGCAGAUACCCUCUCCACUCUGCUAUCCUUCACAUAGAGUGGUAUCCUCACACCAAGAUCCCUAAGUCGAUUAACCACGUCGUAGAGAAACUCAAAUGUGAGUUUUGAUUGUGCAUUAAGGUCAUCUCUUACAGUUGGAUGCACCCUGAACCAAUCUCCUAGCAUCUUAUGCACAUGGGAACGAAUCAUUCUCCAUGGCACUGGAUAACUCUCACAAAACUUUAAAUAUUCAACUAGUAAAUCCGCCUGGUCCAGCUUUCCAUCUACACAGAUAUCAUCACUUCCUGAUACCCAUUUGACAGUACGGUAUCCAGCAAAAAGGGCUGGGUUUUCCAGCAGAGACUCAGCUGAAAGUACCCCCUCAACCCCAGUCUCUUCCAAACAGCUCUGCACAUCUUCCAUGUAUCUUAUAUUCCCAUUAGCCAGAACAGGGAUUCUCAUGACAUCUCUAACAGCCUUGAUGGCACUCCAAUUGGCACGAAAUUUCUUCCCAUCUUUUUCAUCCCUAGUUCGACCAUGUACUGCCAAAAGAGCACAACCAGCAUCUUCCAACAUCUUGGCAUAAUUGAUUGUGUCCUCAAAAUUCGCGAAAAGUCGUAUUUUGCAGGAGACUGGAACACUAAGGUUGUUUGCUAGUUUUUCUACCAUAGAUUUAACCAAAGGAAGAUUGUCCAUAAGGAAAGCUCCAUAAUUCCCUCGCCUAGCAAUACGCUGCGGACAUCUGCACGGAUGGCAAAUAUACAACGCUUAACUAAGGCUACUUUCAACCAAACUCAACGAAAAGUGAUUGUAAUGAUACAAGCUGACAGCAGGACAACUUCCAGAUGCCAGUUACAUGGAAUUGCAAGGAAAUUAUACUCGAAAGAAUUAGCCACGACAAAAAGUGAGCAAUCAGUAUAGUUAGAGUCAAUAUGGAAAAACUGUUCUAGAAUACAUGUACGAGCGAAUAUGGAGAUAAAUAUGCAGCACUAGGUGCGAUAUCAGCUUAAUGAAAAUGCCCGUUAUGUCAUUCAUUACUGGAGUUCCUCUUUAUACAGUAGUUAGCAAUAGUAGCUAAACAAGGAAGGAAAAACAUGGGUAGAAGGCAUUACCCCAAAUUGAUGUCUACAUAAUCGCAGUAGGGUUCUACUCUCCGCGCAGCCUCCAACAAUAUAUCUGGAUCAUUCGCACAAAAUUGCACAAAUAGCGGACGGUCCUCCUGUCAUUAUUUCUCAGCAAACUUCUCCUUAAUGAAAUUCAAAACUAUACAACUUCACAGACUAAGUAACACGAAGCAUAAGACAAGUAACUAAAAACAAGACCCGAAAUUACCUUGCAGGUGGUAAAUUCUUGAGAGCGGUACUUUUCAGUUUCGGUAAAAAUACGAGAGUGAAGCAUAGGGGUAUAAGCAGCUUGAGCUCCGUACUUGCGGCAAAGCAUGCGGAAGGGGAGCUCGGAGUUGUCGACCAUGGGGGCCACUAUGAACUUAGGUUGCCCAAGCUUCUUCCAGUGUGCCCAGGCUCUCUCGAUCCGCGACUCUCUGCUCAGGUACCCGUUUGGAUUUGGGGCCGGGAGGCCGUCCAAAUGGGCUGUCUCUCCUUCUGGUUCUCCUUGUGGUUCGGAACACAGGCGGUCGUCGUCGUCGCCGCCGUCUUGGUUGACGGCGACGUUGCAGUUUGACGAUGAAGAGGAAGUUAGGUUUUGGAUGGCCAUCAAGUUAUACGAUGAAUUGGGCGGCUGUGAGCAAAUACUACGUGUGGCGCAGAGUGGCUUCCUAAUAAAUCUCAUAAGGAGGCGAUGAAGGCUGGGGAGGGUACGCAGCCCAUGACCACCCUGGAAGUUCGCAACGGAUCUCCUAUCCCGUAUCCUGUGUCACUCUCUGUCCCACUUUUUAUUAUAUUGUUAUUUCUCCUUCACAAACAUCAUGUUUUAAUUCUUUUUUAUUUCCUUAAAAUCUAAUAACUAUUAAUUGAGUAAUACACAAAAUUUAACAAACUCAAAAAAUCAAAAUGCAUAAAAAUGAGAUUUUUUAUGAAUUUUUUGUUGUAUUUUUUAAUUUUCUAUUAUAUAUUAGUUUUUUGAAGCUUUUGUAUUUAUUUUUUACUCAAUUAAUAGUUAUUGGAUCAUAAGGAAAUAAAAAGGAAUUAAAACAUGAUGUUUGUGAAGGAGAAAUAGCAAUAUAAUAAAAAAUGGGACAGAGAGUGGCAUAGGAUGUGGGACAGAAGAUCCGUUGCGAAGGAAGUUGGUGGGGAAAUUUUUCCUUCAAUUUAUUUGGAGGGAGGAGGCGGGGACCCCGCGGGAUUAUGGCUGUUUUAGAUGGGUGAAAAAAAUCGGAUCCGGGGCAGGAAGGUCACGUGUAUUUUGUAACUCGAUUUGUACACAGAUACAGGGUUUGUUUGGAUUGAGCAUUAUUUGUCAAAUUAUAUCUGCUUACAUCAUCAUUACAAUUUCCAUCGCACCUUUUUAUCUUCCCAAUUACCUUUUUAUCUCACAUACAUCACAUCACAAAAAAUGCUACAGUAAAAAUAUUCCAAAUAACUUACAAUCCAAACAAACCUACAAUUUAUUUACAAUAACAUGUAACUCUGACACAGAAUUUUUUGAAUCCCACACAUAUUGUAAACAAUGAGGUGUAAAAUAAAAUCUGAAUCUUUUAAUUUUUUUUGAUCAAAUCUUAACCAUGAACUGUCAGGAACGGCGUAGACAUUCUUGCCCCUCUUCCAAAAAAAUCAAAUCUUUUCUUCAGACGAGGAUAGGGUUGUUUUUGGAGUUGAGGCUCCAAAUUGAUGCAUACUAAGUAACUUUUAAGCCGAAUUACAAGCUCAAGACAAUUAAUCCGAGUUACAUAAUAACUUGUAGGCUUGAUCUUACAUAGCAACUAGUAUUUUGAUCCGUGCUAUGCACGGAUUUAUAUGAGAAGGAAGAGAAAUAUGGUCAAAUACAACAUUAUUAUCCUUUUCCCUCAUAUUCUUCUUCUUUAUGCCACUUUUUCCACCUCUAAACCUCCUACUCUCCACUACUCUCUUUUUUAUUUUCUGAAUUUAACUUCCUCGCAUCCCUACAAUCUUUCGUAAUUCUUUGAAAUCCUACCCAAUUUUUUUGUAUUCCUACAACCUUUCUAUUUUUAUCAAAUUCUAUUUUCUCUUUGCUCUAUCUCGUUGCUACCCAAUUAUCCUAUCUCGUAUCUAAUUUUACAACCCACUUGUCUCCUAUUCUACUAUUAUUUUCAUCUAUUUAUAAAUGUAAAUGGUAACCUAUUUAUUUGGCUCACCUAUUAACAAAUGAAUUUGCGUGUGUAAUUUAAUUGGAUUGAAAUGGGUGACCAAAUUAACCCAUUAAUUAGUGGGUAUGAAAUUGAUAGAUUUGGAUCACUUAUUUUGACUUAAUUAAAUUAGAUGUAGAUUCAAACUCAAUCAUUAGUGGGUAAAUCUAAAUUACUCUAAUAAUUAUAUUCUAAUUUUUGCAAAGAUGUAUUCAUCUUUUUUCCUCUUCUUUAAUUUCUAUUAUUUUAUUUUUUAAAAUUUAUCCUACUUCCUUAAUUCCUUGCAUAAAGUUUCAUAAAUUUCGUGAAUAUUAAUUGAUUGUUUGCAUUAAUAUCUAAAUUAUUUUUAGAUUGUCGUAUAGUGAUAAAAUUUGAAACUCACUGUGAUGAUCAUUUUAGGCUCCUUUAAGCAAAUUUUUAUGUUUUUUCCUUUUUCUUUAGAUAAAAAUUGAUUUAUUAACUUGAUAUGUUGAUAUGAAUUACUAUUUUGUUGUUAUACAAAAUAUGGAUGAAAAAUUAAAUAAAAUUUGGUUGUGGGCUGUGAAUGGAUGAUUGGAUAAUCCAAACCCAUAUAAAAACUAUAUUCAUUGAUGAUUCGUCUAUUUUGAACCAUUAACUAAGUAGGAAUAUAUAGAUUAACCUUAUUAUAACUUGCCCAGACUCAUAUGAAUCAUCAAAUUUGAUAAUUGUCCUAUAAUCUUUACCUUCGCUAACCCUACAGUUCUAUCUUUUUAAUACUUUCACUAUUUAGAAUUCAUCAGCUCACUUUUUUAAGUGUUUUUGGAUAUAUAAAAAGUUAGAAUUAUUUUUCCAAGUUGCUGCCUCAUUUUUAAGUGUUUUUAAUCAAAUAAAAAGCUAGAAUUGCAAUCAUCGAGAAAAAGUAAACUUUCGGAUGUAAAAUUGGUGAAAUACAACCUUUUUAUCAAAAUUUUGCUAAAACACCACCAAAAGCAACCUUAUAAAUACACCUUUAUUAAUUUAAAAUUCAUACAUAAAUUUUUCUUUACAUGCACUUUUUGGUAUACAUGUGCUAAAUGAAAAGUCAUCUAGAUGCUUGCACGAUAUAAAUAUUGAAUUUAUUCUAAAUGCAAAUAAAAUGUCAUAAUUGUUAUUUACAUACUCCAAUUUAAUGUUAGAGUAUAAUUUCAACAUUCAAAUUUUAAAACUUUAAAAAAACAAACCUACUGAAUAAAAUCCAACAUAAAAAUAUAAAAUUUAUAAAAAGCAAACCUGUUAAAAUGCCCUAAGCUUGCUGAAUAAAAAAAAAGGGAUAAGUUUAAGACUGCACGAAAAUUGAUUUAGUAAUUGUAGCAUAAAUUAUUAAAAAAUAAGAGUAAGCGAGUAUAUCAUUAGAAGAUUUUGACAAAUGAUUAUUAUACCCAGAAGGAAAUCGAUAAAGAAAUAAUUGGGUGAAUAACUAAAAAAUAUGACUAAUCACAUUAUCUCGAGGAUUUGGCUAAAUAAAUUAAUCCUCUUUAAUGAAGGAACAAAAGGGGUUAGAGUGAUAAAGAUAUAAUAGGGUAAAUAAUUUUAAAAUGGGACUAAUCAAUUAUCCCUGAGAAUUUUGGCUUGACAAAUAUAUUUUAUUUAAUUAAGGAGUAAAAAAGACUUCAAGCAUAAAUAACAAACUAUAAAAUGGUUUAUGAAAGAGAUAGUGGGAAAGUUUUAAAUUUUAAAUUUAACUAGUGAUAGAAUUAGUUAUAACCCACUGUUUUAAAUUUUUUAAUAAGAUUUUAUGUAUUAAAAUAAAUACAAAAAUCUAGAAAAAAAUAGAAAAUUUGGAAGCCAUUGAGAGGGUCUCUGUUAAAAAUCCACUAUGCAAUAGAUAUAGAUAGAUAUCAUUUCCUUUUUACCUCUUAUCUCUGAUGUGGGAUAUCACAUAUAAUAUUAUAUAUACAUUAUUAGUAUAUAAAACUAGUGUGAAUACCCGUGCUACGCACGGUGCUGAUAUUAUUGAAAAAAUAAAAAUAAAAAAGUGAAUUAAAAAAGAUUAAAAAAUUGUACCAGUACAAUUAAAAUAUAAUAGUUGUCUAACAAUAAUUUGAAAUAUGAUAGAAUGUGUAUAUUAUUCAAAAAUUAUCUUUUUUUCGGAAGAUAGACCCUAAAAAAAUAAUAGAAAUUUAUAUUAGAAAAUGAAUGAUAUAUGAAUAAAAAUGAAUGUAAUUAAAUGUUGUUAAAAUAAAAUACUUACAAAUAUGAUACAUUCAAUUUAAUAAUCUUGCAUGAAGGUGCGAACACUCUUCACACCAAUCAACUUUUAGUACGAAAGUCAAAAUUGGUGAUUUAAUUAAUUCUGUUGAAUUUUGUGGAAUGCAUACUACAAAUGAAAAUGCACGAUCUUUGCAUGAAUUGAUUCGUUGGUUGAACAAUCUAUCACCAUUGUUCUGAGAAUUAAGUACGUGUGAAAUUCAAAAUUAGUGUAUUUUUUAUACAUAGUUUAUAAAUAGCAUUAUAAAAAAUAAACAUAUAUCAAGAAAUUCUAUCUUCCUUUGUAAUUUUUUGAGAUAAGAAGUAUUACAAUCAAAUAUGAAUCGUGCAUGUCUGUCCUGUAGAUUAAGAUGCAUGUUACCACUGAAAUUUUUGAUUUGUAUGUUAACAUUGUACCUGUUUGACCAAUAAAAUAUUAUAUACAAUACAGAAAAAUUUGUUGAAAUUAAAGAUACAUGAAAUUAAUUACCUAAUAACAGUGUCGACUAUGUCAUUACAAUGCAUACAUACUGUUUUUGAAAAACGACCUUCACAUAGUUAUUCACAAUUUUUGCAUAGUUCAUAGAACAUAUUUUCUAUGUUAAUGCUUUGAAUGUAAACAAGUAUUCGAAAAUAUUUAACCUAGUAAGAAUGAAAGAAGAUAUAGGUUAUGAUUAUAAAUUUAAAAUAUUUGUGCAGUAAUUAAAUUAAAUAGAGUAAGUUUACCGUAUGCAUAAUUGUAUAUUCGGAUAUCCAUAUUCUCUUUGAAUUUACUAUCAACAAUACUUGUGAUGUUGUAAAAUUGUUUGAUUUCAACCACAUAACUAACUUUCGAGCACAUGUAUCAUUUUCAAACCUACAAUUUUUUGAAAUACAUAUUGAUAAAAGUAUGAAACAACAUUAAAAGUUUGAUGUAGUGUUGUAACUCACCAAUUGCGCAGGUGUCGAGCAAAAUCUAAACUGUGAUUGAUAUACAAUUUGUUAGCUCCAAUUGUACAAAGUGAUGGUCCUGCAUAGUAUAGUUAUAUUCGUUAAAAAACUAGUCAAAUUAUAUAGAGUAUAUGUAAAAGCAUUUGUUUUACCUCUGAGAUUUCGUACGCAAAUACCAUAUGCUAAUAAAAUAUUAUUUUGUGUAACAGAUUGAUAUUAUAGGAUUUGUAGUAUAUUCAAUAACUUGAUAUUCAAAUCACCGAUGAGCCAAAGUUUGUCUAAAUAAUCUUUACAGUGUCCUAACUCCUUGUAAAAAAAAAACACUAAAUAGUCCUAAUUGGCAUCGCAAGUUACGGCAAUGUGCCAGUGCCAUCUAGGUCUAAUUUUUUUUUUGUCAAAAUCUAGUUCUAAUUGAUUUUACUGUUUUUUGAUCAUAUUGUAUGCUUGCGAAUUAAAAUUGUAUUAAAAUAGCAUGUGAAUGAGCAUUUGUCUUUAAUUAAUGAGUAAAAAGAAUUUAAAAUAUAAAUAACAAACUAUAAACGGUUUAUGAAAUAGAUUAUGGAUAAAUUUUAAAUUUUAAAUUUGACUGGUGAUAGAGUUGUUUAUAACCCACUACUUUUUAUGUAUUAAAAUAAAUAUAAAAAUCUAUAACCCACUACUUGUUAUGUUCUUGGGAUUUUUUUUUUGGUUAAAUAUAGUAAGUUCCUUAACUUUACAUUUAGUUGCACUUUACCCCCUUAAUUUUACAUUUAGGUGCACAUUUGUGAUUUUUUUGAAAUGUAAUUGUAAUUUGCAAAGUUCAUUUGUAGGAGUGGUUAUAGGGUUUGUGUGAUAACAAAUAUUUCUUAAUUAUAAAAAUGUAAUAUUGUAUUAAAAUAGCAUACGAAUGAGCAUUUGUCUUUAAUUAAGGAGUAAAAAGAAUUUAAAGUAUAAAUAACAAACUAUAAAUGAUUUAUGAAAUAGAUAGUGAAAAUGUUUUAAAUUUUAAAUUUGAUAGGUGAUAGGGUUGGUUAUAACCCACUACUUUUUAUGUAUUAAAAUAAAUACAAAAAUCUAGAAAAAAAGAUGAGAAAUUUGGAAGUCAUUGAAAAGGUCUCUGUUAAAAACCCUUUCUGCAAUACAUAUAGAUAUAGAUAUAGAUAUUUACUCUAUCAAUUAAAAGGUGCUCGAGAACCCAUCACAAUUUAGGCUCCGUUUGAUUAAAACUGAAUAUGAAUUCUGAAUUUUGAAUACUGAAACAAUUAAUUUGCUGAAUAUUAAACACUGAAAAGAGAUAUAUGAAUAUCUGAAUCUUAAUGCUGAACAUAUUUAUACUAUUUGAUAAACAUUUAUAAUUUAAUGCUUAAUAGCUAAAUUAUACAAUUUUGCCCUUCUAUCUUUUAAUCCAAAAGGGAAACAGAACCUAUGAUUUAAUUAGAUUAAAAUUGUUAGGUAUGAAAAUGACAAUAUUUAUUUUUAAAUCAAAGUACUAUAAAAGAAGAAAUAUAUUAUGGAAAAGUUCAAAUAUCGGUGCAAAUAUAUUUUUAAAUCAGAGUUUGAUAAGAAAAGUCCAAAUAUAAGCAAAAGGAAGCUGCAAUAAACAAGUUUUAAAUUCACACCAAAUUAUAUAGAAAUUUAAUUAUUUCAAUGGAAAAAUGUUGACGCAAAACAACAAAUAAUCAAUUGGAAAUAAUAAAUUUGAGAUCAGUGAGUACGGUAGCAAUAAAAAAAAUGGGAGGAAAAAAAGACAAAAUUAUGAAAGAGUAGAAAUAUGGAAAAAGAUAAGGAGUAAACAGAUGUGAGAAACAUGGAGAAAUUGUAAAAAAGUCAUUAAAUAGGAAGAAAAUAGAAGUAGAAAACCAUUAGACAGAGAAUGUCAGGUUAUUUAAUUAGAUAAGAAUUUUGAAUAGAAAAUAUUAGGUUGUUUAAUUAGAUAAGGAUUUUGAAUGUAAUUAAUAAACAAGGAUAAAUUUGGUAUAUAAGCUAAAGUAAUUGAAGUAAAUCUCUGGAUUCUUAUCAAAUUAAACAUUCAGUUAUGAUUCUUGUGUUCAAAAAAAUACAUACAAAUUCAGCACCAUUUAAUAAGUUUAGGGGAAAAAUUUUUAUUUAUCAAAUACCCAAAACAUCUGAAUGUCUGAAUGAAUUCAAUUUUAACACUUUUUUAUAUUAUCAAACAGACACACACACACACACACACACACACACUCUCUCUCUCUCUCAUCCAAAAACACAGGCACAACAUUCUAGUAUUCACAUACUUGGUAAGCUUGUUAUUUUUAUGGAAGCAUGAGUACUGCCUGCACAUGGUAACAAGUAUCUUUCCUAGUGUGAAUGACACGUUGUUACCUUCUGUAGGCCAAGUCAUCUGCCGAAUUUCAAAAAAUUGAUGGAGGAGUAUGUCAACCUUUGCACAGGUGCAUUUUGAGUGAAAUUAUAUACCAUUAGCUGGGUUAUUGCUUUAUCUCUGACUCCAGUCCAUUGAAUGUGACUUGGAUGCUAAACGUCGACAGAGCUGUCUAGAAAAAUUAUACGGGGUAUAGCUCUGGCAUUGGGUGGAUGACCAGCUGAAUUUGAAGGGACAAGAGCCGGUGAUCCAUUUUGGGUGCUGCCACUGCUGCGUAUAAUUGGCUAUCCUGGUGUCUCCCCUGCAAAUGGCCAAGACAUGCUAAAAAAUGAUUUUGGAUGGUGAGAUUGCUGAAGAUGGAUUUCAUCUUCUUUUAUUUCACUUCUAGCACUUGAUUGAUGUGAUUUUGUGCUUCUUUAUGUCUUUUAUCCAAAUGAACGCAGUGGAGUUCAUACGGACUAUGGUAAGAUUCCCCAUCCUUGUUUGGUGUAAGCAUGAGGUGUUCUUAUUUAUACGUGACGAUGACCUCUUGUUCUAUACCAGGUCUGCUGACGUUAGUCAAUCAAGAUGAUGGUAUUACUGCUCUUCAGGUAUCGCCCUCCUGUCUACUUUCUUCUUUAUUUGCCUUCAUUUUUUAGCAUUAGUGUGUAUCCUAAAGUUCUUCGUGUUAAACUUGGGUCUGUUUCAUUAGUUUCUGCUUGAAAUAUAUAUGUUUCUCUGGUUUUUCAUUGUCACUACUCUGCACUAUUAAACUAGUCCCUUUGUAGGUAAAAAACCUUUCUGGAGAGUGGAUAUCAGCACCACCCAUUCCUGGGACAUUUGUUCGCAAUAUCAGUGACAUGCUGAAGGUAACUACUGAGAAUCAUCUCAUCCUAUCUGGGGCACCAAAAUUUCCCACCGGAGUAGCAAGCGAUGACAACGGCGAUAAACCCAGUAGAGCCUCUAAUACCAGACCCUGCCAUUUCUCCCCAAACCGAUAUUCAUGUAAGUUCAACAACCACACCUGUAAACCAUAGUAUCUCCCAGACACAACUUCAACUUCCCUCACACUCUGUUUCGCCUGAAAUUCAUAAUUCCACUUCCAUCCUUCACGCCUCAAAGUCCCCAAAACGCUCCUACAAGGACUGCCUCAUAUCUGAUAAAACCUCUUCAAUCAUUCAACUAGACCUCACCCAAACUGAACUCGCGUCCCCUAUAAACUUUUCUGAAACCCAUACCCAAACCGGGUCCCUUACCAUAGAUUUCCCCCCCAAACUCACAGAUAGACUCAGAGAACCUUGGAAAUUCACUCUGAUUGCUAAACCUCUGGGGAGAAGCACGGGUUUUAGAUACUUCGACCAAAAAAUUCGUCAUAUCUGGAAACCUAUUGGCGAAAUAGCAAUCCUAGAUCUGGGUAGGGAUUUCUUCGCAGUUAGAUUUAAAAACCCGGAAGAUCAUCUUAGAAUCUUAACGGGCGGCCCGUGGUUUAUCAAUAAAUCUCUUAUUUCCAUUCGCAACUGGUGCCCAUUUUUUAAUGCUUUCGAUGCGAAAGCAUCCACAACAACUGUCUGGAUCAGACUACCAGGACUCCCCCUAGAAUUUUAUGAUCAAGAAGCACUCUCUCUCAUUGGAAAUAAAAUCGGGAAGCUCAUUAGAAUUGAUGCAAGGAUGGCCAAUACAGAACGUGGAAGAUUCGCCAGGUUGUGCAUCGAGCUAGACAUUACUCGCCCUCUGCCUACCUCAAUCCAACUAGAUGGACACCAUCAGUUACUGAUCGUAGAAGCUCUGUCCUUCUGUCCUAGUUGUGGUAUGUUGGGUCACGACCAAUCUUACUGCCCUAAGCCCACCUCCGAUGAACAAACGGAAGCACAGCCGGGAGGAGGGACAUGGAGACGUGUUCAGGCGUUCGCCGGCAAAUCGUUUUCUAUGUCAGGAAAGCGACCUCUCCUUCGUAAACCCAACGGUCAGCAUUUUUCAAUUUCAAACGUUAAGUCCAGGCCUUCCCGACCCAUAAGGCCUCAUGGCCCAGGUGUUGGUCAACCCAAAAUCCAAACCUCUAACCGGGUCCCUAUAUUCGGUACCACAGAUAUCCCUAUUAGAAAUAAUUUUGACUUGCUUUCUGAUGUUGACUCUGUGCUUUCCAACGGCGCCAAAGUUGCUGAGCCUCCCAGACCUGCCACCGAACAUCAGUCCCAAAAUUUCCUGCCUAGUGCUCCUUCUCCUACAUUGAAACUUCUUAGCAAACAGUUGGGAGAAACUUUGCCUGCAAAUGGAAAGUGCACUUUCCAACCUCCUCCACCUCCUGCUUCCAAAAAUGACCCGUCGAAAGCCAGCUUCGAUUACCUUCCUUCGGAAGACAGGCUUAGCCCCCACGCCAUCAGCUACAUAUCCAAAACCGGAGAAGUUCUUUCACCCACCCCAACCUCAGAAAAACCCUACGUUACUCUCACCAAAACCUCCUCAGCUCAGUAUGAACCACCAACAAGCCUCAGCAAUGUCCCGGAGGACGAGAACCAACCUGAGAAACUCUCACCCCUCUUACCAAACCCACCAAGUUUGGAACCACUACCCCCCUCACAGAUUGGAAGAACACCCCCAAGCACCGCAUCUCAACCACAUGUUCAGGGAGGAGGAGUGGGUUCUGAUAUGCUCCCACAGAGUGGUAGACCCACUCCUAGUCGCGAACCCACAUUUCUCCUUGGAAGAGAUCCGCCAAAUCCAGGACCAACACAGUUUGGGAAGAAUACAGAUUUGGGCAACUCAAACCAGGAUAGCUUUUAUCACAGACCUGGACCCAGAAGACCAGCUGACAUCAAGGAACAGGGAGGUGAGGGGAAUCGGAGCAGGGAGACCUCCAUACGAACAACACCACCAAAGGCCAAACCGCCCACACAACCGGCCACAUCAGCCCCAGACUCAGCCAGAAAGGGACUACCCGGAACCAAGGAGACACUCAAACCGCCACUAUCGUUGGAACCCAUCAUGGAGGAGGACUCAGAAUCGCCCAGCGACAGCUCAGGAGACUUCUCAGAGGAUAGGUGCCCAGGAACCCACGGGCUCAAACCCCGCUCCAGAACACGAAACAAUGCCACAACUGUACGUCCGGCAAGAAGUACUCUCCAUAUCCCCACUUUCAGUCACUGCCAGAGACUCUCAAAGCUCUGUCACAAUUAUCACGCCGAUAAAAGAAAUGUUAGCCGUAAAAAUAUUCAUGAUGGCCAUCGAACUGCUAGGCGUAGACUCCAGAGACCACUCCUUAACACUACGCCCAAGAUUCAGUCGAGAGUUUCACUUUCCCGUCAAUAUCUACGACGGAAAUCCCAGCUCCCAAGUGAGGCCUCAGAGCCCACCAGAGCCGAUGAUGCCCAACCCAUUUCCUGACUCUAUGAAGAUCCUUUUCUGGAAUGUCAGGGGUGCGGGACACCCGAAUUUCAAAAAUCACUUUCUUCAACUUGUCCAGCUCCAUAAUCCCGCAAUUGCUAUUCUAGUAGAAACUAAACUCCACGGAGACAGAGCACGCCAUAUUUGCAGUCAACUCCCGUUUGACAAUUUCUCAGUGGUCGACUCUUCCGGGUUCAAAGGUGGAAUGUGGCUACUGUGGAACAAGGCAGAAGUUCGCGUAGAUCCUAUUUCAAACCUUUCGCAGGUCAUCCACGCUUCAGUCCAGGUAACCCCCUACUCACCCCCUUGGAUUCUUUAUGAAAUUUAUGCUAGCCCACGAUUUCAGGAAAGAAUUCAAUUAUGGAAUAGUUUGUGUUCCUCUAAUAACCCCAAUCUCCCUUGUGUUUGGAUGGGGGACUUUAAUGAGAUUUUAAUGAGUUCGGACAAGAAAGGGGGUAACCCGAUUAGUCCAAAUAGAGCCUGUUUAUUCAAAGAGUGUUUGGACUCUUGUAACAUGUUAGACUUAGGGUUCAAUGGGCCUCGUUACACCUGGCGGUGUUUUAGAAGGGAUCUAGGCCAUAUUUACGAACGGCUGGAUCGCGUCUUUUGUAACCCUGAAUGGAUUAACCUUUUUCCUGAGGCACAAAUACACCACCUUGCAAGAACUCAUUCAGAUCAUUGUCCAAUUCUUCUAGACCUCCAACCGGCUAUUAGUAAUUCCUUAAACAGACCUUUUAGACUGGAGAAAUUUUGGAUGUCUCACCCAGAAUUCCCACAACUCCUUCAUCAAUCUUGGUCUGGGCCCCCCUCUGUUAUCUCCAAUUCUAUCGAAAACCUCACUUCUAACAUCCUUUCCUGGAGUAAAAAGACCUUUGGGAAUAUUUUCUUUAAGAAAAAGAGGAUCCUAGCCAGACUCCAAGGUGCUCAAAAAGCGAUGCAAUCUCACCAUUCUAUAUUCCUAGAGUCUUUAGAAAAACAGUUGCUUUUUGAGUAUGAUGAAAUCCUUCAUCAGGAAAAAUCCCUCUGGAUUAUGAAAUCUAGAUUGGACUAUGCUAUAUCAGAUGACCUCAAUACCAAAUUUCUACAAACUUCUACCCUCUGUAGAAGGAAACGGAAUAAAAUUGUAUCUUUGAGAGAUAAUGAAGGUAAAUGGCUGACCAAUAGUGAUGUUGUUAAAAACCAUAUCCUUGAUUUCUUCUCUUCCCUAUUUACUUCUCACCACUCUCAGUCAUCCUUUUACCCACAGAAUUUCCCUUUUCAGAAAUCUUAUCUGGAGGAAGAAACCAAAAUAUCCCUAGUCACCCUCCCAACCAUCCAAGAAAUUAAAAAGGCUGUUUUUGAUUUGAAACCUCUCAAAUGUCCUGGGCCGGAUGGCUUUCACCCUAUUUUCUACCAGAAAUUUUGGAAUUUCCUUGCUCCUUCAAUCACCCAAUUCAUACAUGAUGCUUUCAAUCAAAAGCCCCUUCCAGUCGGGAUUAACGAUACUUUAAUUUGCUUGAUUCCCAAACUUGACAACCCGGAUAUCAUUCAGCAGUUUAGACCCAUAGGACUCUGCAAUACCACUUAUAAAAUACUAGCCAAGACCAUUGUUAAUAAACUUAGACCCAUCCUUUCAACCAUCAUCUCCCCUCUCCAAUCCAGCUUCAUCUCGGGUAGAAGUGGAACAGAUAACAUCAUGCUUGUCCAAGAAGCCAUUCACAGGCUAAAAAAUAAAAAGGGCAAAUAUGGGUUGUGUGCCAUCAAGCUUGAUCUUCAUAAGGCGUAUGAUAGUCUUGAAUGGUCUUUUAUUCAUCAAGCCCUCACUUUCUUUGAUUUUCCCCCAUCCCUCAUCAACCUCAUUCUUCAUUGCAUUACAUCUACCAAUUUGGCCAUACUCAUAAAUGGAUCCCCAACAAACUUUUUUUCCCCUUCUAGAGGCAUUCGACAAGGAGACCCUUUAUCCCCAUACAUCUUCAUUAUUUGCAUGGAAUACUUGUCAAUGGCUAUCACCAAAGAAGUGGAUGGUAACAACUGGACCCCUCUCAAGUUUGGGAGAUCUAGACAUUGUCUGUCACAUUGUCUGUUUGCAGAUGACAUCAUCCUCUUCUCGAGGACAGAUGAUACCUAUAUAACCACUAUCCAAAAUAUUUUGAACAUAUUUGGGGACCUCUCUGGCCUCCGUAUCAAUCACUCCAAGUCAAGGAUUCUAUUUUCCCCAAACACCCUUGAAUUCACUAAAAACUCUAUCACCAGGACUCUAAAGUCUAAACAUUCAGGGUACCCGAGACCUAGGAAAAUACCUUGGAUUUCCACUUAGUGUUAAGAAAGCAACAGCCAAAACCUUCCACUUCCUUUUGGAAAAAAUUCAGUCCAAACUCCAAGGCUGGAAAGCAAACCUGUUGUCUUUUGCUGGGAGAAAGACAAUUAUCCAACAAUGCAUAUCUUCCAUCCCUACCUAUUUCUUCCAAGCUGCACAUAUCCCAAAAAAAAUAUGUGAUGCCAUCGAUAGAGAACAGAAAAAUUUCCUCUGGGGCUCCACAGAGGGGAAGAAAAAACUCCACUUGAUUAAGUGGGAAACUGUUACCCUCCCCAAAAAGGAGGGUGGUUUGGGAUUGAGACAAUCAGCCCUUUUGAACAAAGCUAAUUUGGCCAAACUAAAUUGGCAGAUGAUGAAAAACACACAUCGUCCUUGGGUUCAAAUUCUUUCAGAUCUCUACUUACAUAGAAACCAACCUUUGAAAGAAUCCCCUCUUAGCUUCUGCAAAUCUAGAGGUUCCAUAAACCUCAGGAAUAUCAUACACGGUAACAACAUCUUCAACCAAGGGUUGGGUUGGAACAUAGGAGAUGGUAAAACAAUUAAAGUGUGGUCUGGAAAAUGGUUCUCAGCAAGCACCCUCAGAUCCUUAAUUGAAGGACCACUCCUACCAGAGGAAGAUCAACUACUCCUAUCAGAUCUUUUUGACAGCAAUGGUAAUUGGAAUUUCAACAAUAUUUCCUUCCAUCUACCCCCUUCCAUUACCGACCUGCUAAAAGCUAUUCCUAGACCUCACCAUUCUAAACAAGCAGACAACCUUAUAUGGAGGAAUUCUCCAGAUGGGGAGUUCAGUCUAAAAUCUGCAUAUGAGAUCACUAGUUUGCUAUAUAUUCAGGCCAAACCCAAUGUCCAAACACCCCAUCCUCCAAGCCAGUCUUUCACUUGGAUUUGGACUACUCACACAUCCCAUCGAACCAAAUUAUUCCUCUGGUUAGCUUCUCAAGACAAACUAGCAACAAGAUACCUCCUUCAUAAGAGAAACAUCCUCCCUGAUAAUAUCUGCCCUUUCUGCCCAGGACUGAUAGAGGAUACUAAUCAUGUCUUGCGCAAAUGUGUCCACGCCCAAGCUGUUUGGAUGGAGCUCAAUCCCAACUACUAUCUAUCCACUCUACACAUUCCUUUUCACAUCUGGAUUAGGGAAGGUUGUAAACUUUCCACACCCUCCCCUUUCUACAAUAUUCCUUGGGGCACACUCUUUGCCUUUACUUGCUCCACCAUUUGGAAAUCCAGGAAUAAAAAGAUUUUUGAGCCCAACAGAACACAACCUCCUCCAACCAAAACCAGCAUCAAGUUGGCCACUGAGUUCUACUCCCUUGGCCCAAAUUCUGGCCACCCCCCUCGCAGAAAAUCACAUAUUCUUAUCAGAUGGAUUCCUCCAAUCCUCCAUUGGUUCAAGCUCAAUUCAGACGGCUCAGCCUUAGGAAACCCAGGUCCAGCGGGAGCUGGAGGUGUUAUCAGAGACGCCUCCGGAUGUUGGAUUAGAGGAUACUGCAGAAACUUAGGUUCUACAAACAGCAUGCUGGCGGAAUGUUGGGGUAUCCGAGAUGGACUAGAAAUAGCCCUUUCCUUAAAAAUUUCUCAACUUGAAGUUGAAGUUGACUGCGAAGCUAUUAUUACUUUGUUAACAGCUGUUGCCAAUCCUAAUCACCUUUUGAACUCUAUCAUUUCGGAUUGCAGAUCCCUCCUUUCGCAGCUGCGGCAUGUUAAAAUAUCCCACAUAUACCGGGAGGCAAAUAGAUGCGCGGACGCACUCGCAAGAAUGGGAGGCAGAUUACAAUCCAACUUUGUAACUUUUGCUAAUUGUCCUCAAGAACUCGCUUUUGUCUAUGAUGAGGACUUGAAAGGGAUCUGUUUUCCCCGCACUAUCUCUUUUGCUUUAUAAUAGAUAGGGCAAAACUCUGUUGUUUAUUAAUAUUUAAUCCCUAUUUUCACCAAAAAAAAAAAAGUGACAUGCUGAAGGUAUGCAUCUCAAUAAUUGAUUCUCCAGUGGUUUUCAUGCUGUCACCCGAUAACUGUUCUUAAUAUUUGGGAAUCUUCAGAUUCUAUCCAAUGGCCUUUAUGAAUCAACUUUGCAUCGGGUGACUAACAACUCUCCCAUUUAUCGGGUCUGCGUGGCCUACUUUUAUGAGGUAAUCCUCUCUCUUAAUUUUCCUUUUUUAUUUUGAUUCAGCUUCUUAAUCAAUCUCCUUGGUUUUUUUCACAUGAAUAGCCAAAUAAUAGAGCCAUUGGAUGUAUGCGUAAAACAAACUGGUGGAACCAGGAGGUUUGAAGGUGCUGUUUACGGUAAACACUUGGUCAGUAAAGUCCUGACAAAUUUCAUAUACUGAGGAAUAAAUCUAUCUCCCCAUUAUGCCUGUUUCGACUGAAUCUCUCACAUUCACGAAUUUUGGGGAUUUCGUCUGUUAGCUGUUGAAAGGAUGUACCUAGCUGAUGACAUGGAAUUUCUUGUGUUUAUUGGAUUAAGUUGUCGGUUGAUUUAAGAUGACAUGACCUCAUCAAGUUCUCGGAGUUUUUGGAACUCUGUACCUAGCUGAUGCCCGUUUCUUUCAUUUGGUUUUGCCUUGAAUUGUGCAAUUAUGUUGGCGUAUCAGUAUUCAUAAAGCACCCUCAACUUUGGAACAUAAAUAUAAGCUGGUUGGCUUAGGCUUUAACUACGUAUUAAUGACAGCGAUGGUUUACUGUCUACACUCAUAAAAUAUUUCGCUAACGGAGGAAGAUUUUCUCCUCCAGCUUCUGACAACAAAAUACAUACAUACACUUAAUAUUACGGCGUAAUGAUAAGGUAGGCACUUAGGCGGCUGGCUGCCGACACCGAAAUUCACGAGCCUGGCUCUUUUAAAGCAGCAUAUGUCGGCGAUGGAGGCCUUGCCCGCUUGGGCACAUGAUCGGAUGUCUGUGGCGUGCCCUUAGAAACAUAAAUGCCGCAAGGCACGUAGUUGAGCCAUUUCGGGUCCGGGCAGGUCCAGCGCCUUGAGAAGAAAGCCUCGCAUUCCUUGGGGCUUCUUUGCGAAGGAAGGUCUAGAAUGCAAUUCAUGGUUACGUUCAGGACUUUCUUCUCGAUUAACUUCCAGCAUUCUGGUCCGACUUGAGUGAAGUAAUUGAACUUGAGGUCCAGUACCUCCAGGUCGCCCAGGAUGCACAAGCUCUCUGGAACCGCCCCGUAGAAUUGGUUGUACGACAUGUUCAGCUGCUGAAUAUCCUUCAAGCACCCGAAUGAUUGUGGAAUGGGACCUGUCAAUUGGUUUAUGCUGACAUCCACAAUAUGUGUUUUAUUCAGAAACCCAAUCUCAUAAGGUAGGCAACCGGAGAGGCUGUUGUUUAAGAAAAGAACCUCGAGGAGAUUUCUGGAAGUUUGGCCAAUGCUCCUGGGGAUUGGGCCGGUUAAUUCGUUGUUUGCAAAGGUGAGAUAGAGUACAGGGGUUUGGCCAAGAUUGCCGGGGAUUUUUCCGGAGAAUGCGUUGUUGUUGAGGAAGAGCACGUCCAGGUCUAGUGUGAAGGCUUGAGGCGGGAUUGUCCCUGUUAACUGGUUGAACCUGACGUCCAGGUAUGUCAAGUUGGUUGCCCCUAGGGCUGCAGCGGGGAAAGCUCCUACGAGCUUGUUGUUGCUCAGGUCGAACUCGAAGAAGUUUGGAAGUUUGGAUAUUCCAAAGGGAAUGUCACCUGUGAAGUUGUUGGAGUUGACAUGGAAGAUUACCAGGUCCUUGAGAUCUUCAACGAAGUCUGUUGCAACGAGUGGACAGCCAGGUCCGCCGUCAAAGUUGAAGCCAUUGAAAUUGACGCCAACGACUCUAAACUUGUUAUCUUUGGUGCUUCUGUCGCAUACGAAGCCUUUGUAUUUGGAUUUGUCGUAACAGAUGCGAUUGCCCGUCCAGGUUUUGGUGACGCAAAAAGGGUCGGACUUUAUUCUCCUUUUGAACCUUUGGAUUACUUGGAUGGCCAUUUUUAGUUCCUCGGAAAGAGUAAAUGGAGGGGGCGGGGGUGGAGGACAGGGGGGCUCUGGAGGGGGAGGGAGCUGUGGGCAAUCUUGGCAUUCUCCAUUGUCAGGAGGGUAGGCAGGGGAAUAGGGAGGACUGCCAACCCCUAUAACGAUUUCGAGUGUUUCCCUGUUGAUCGGGAAACCAUUACCAACGACUUGAUAAAACCAGCAAGAGUGCAGGAUAACAAAGAAGACGAGAAGAGGAAAUGUGAGUGAGAAAGUGUUCUCUCUCUCCAUAUUCCAACACUUCUGAUGAUUGAACCAGGAAGAAGGCACAACCUAUAUAUGCUAAUGGGGAGGGAAUGGCAAUGAUAGGUGAUUCAGUGAUUUGAGCCAUACUGCCAAUAAAGAGAGAUGAGUUCACGAGGAUGACGUCCUUCAAUUGUACCAUGAAUUUCUGUUGUUUUGGGCACUACGAGUGGGGCUUCCUCAUGCAAUAUGUAGAUUCUUUCACAUACAUACAUAAAAAAUUUUUUUUUUAAAAAAAAGAGAUUGAAAAGAUAAAUAAAUAUGUUAAAAAAUGUGUUUAUAAUAAUACAAGUAAAUAAUUUUUUGAUAAAUAAUUACCAUCCAAACGGAAAAAGUAUUUAAGGAGUUUACAAGUUUUUAAGAAAUGAAAAUUAAUACUACUCAGAGCAUUUUACCGGAAAAAAAAUAAAAACUACAACUCAUUAGCUACAGCUAUCUUUACUCCGAUCUACUCUAUAAAUAAGAACAACACUUUCACUUAAAAAAAAAAAGAAAAAGAAAAAAGAAAGAAUAAUACAUCGAUGAUGUCCAAUGACACGACGGACUUAGCAGAAUGAAGCGGCCUGCAAUGGCUGUGAAUCCGUUCCCUUUCAAAACGACAAAACCAGCAAGUCCGUUGCCCCAGCGCUCGCCUCUUACAAAAGGCAAUACCGACACAUCCGGCGCAGCAGGUUCGAGACAGCUCAAAAGGCAGCCCGCCAGAAAAGUGAAAGAGAUGGUAACCAGUAGGACAAAACUUCGCAUGAUUGACCUUUCAACGAGGAUCUGUCCUCUUGCUAUUAUUUCCCUCCCAAUGCAAUUCCGGAGGAGCCAUCCCAAUCGUCAAUACAUCCUUCCAAUCUUGUGCAUGUGCACUUCCUCCUUGAUGGCCUACUGUGUCGCAGUUGACGUGUGCAUCCCCAUUCGUCUAUUCUCACCGGCAUAAACAUUUUACACUCAAUUUUGUAUCUGCACUAACAAACUGUUCCCCUAAUAUGUCUUUACAGGCUACUCAGAUGCCAAGGAAAAUUAAAUAUCUUCAAGAGGGAACAAUAGGUUCCACUCUGCCUUUCCCACAGUUCUAUAACUGCCCUUUUUUGCUGUCUUCUCUGGACGAGUUCUAUUUUCAUUCCAUCUUUUACUAUUUCAAUGCAAACUUGGGCCAAAAAAAAAAAAAGGGUUCAUGAAUCCACCAAGUUAAGGUAUUUAAAUUUUCUGGCACAAUUUCACCACCAAAGUAUUCCUUUAAAAUUCCUAAAGCUUUGCCUUCAACAAUGAUGACCAUCCAAUCUGCAGCCUAUGUCAGAUAGUGAAGCAGCAAAAAGAUAAAAGAGGAAAGUAGAAAACAAGGCAGCUAAACGUGAUGCGUGAAAUUUCAACUGUCAGUCGCACUCGUAUGGUUUCUAACUUGUCCGACACUGGCGCGCACAGUUUUGCUAACACUCUAGAUUUUACUGCACUUUUGUCUACAAAGAGAUGUCUAAAUGCUACUGAUAGGAUAGACGAAAACCACUACUCUGCAAAAGGAAGGAAGAUGGAACUUCAUUAUGAUUACAAAGAGCGCUAUGGUGAGAAAACUAAGCAAUCUUUAACCAAAUUCAAUGAAGCCAAGAACAGAAUGACACUGAGGAAGCAUAUAGUGAAACAGUGUUUCACACUGGCAAAUGUCUAAGAAAUGCAAAAGCUAAUACAAUCAACUCAGAACAAGUUACCCUUGGAAGGCACUAUUACCUCACCAACAGCACUGAUCAAGCAAAUAAAUUUCUUCAUUAGCUUGCAACUCUUCAGGCGAAAGAUUGUAAAAAAUUUUAAGCUAAAGUGCUGAUUACCAAGCAACAGAGUGAAGUACAUUCAUGAUACUUUAGGACCAUGAUUAACAAAAUUUUCCGGCUCAAAAGCCAAAUAAUGGCAGAAGAAGGAUAAAGUAACUUCUCUUACCUCAUCACAUGUCACAGGAAGAAUCAAGAGGAACACUGAGGUGUUGUAAUCAACUCUCAUGCUGUUAACCUCCUCAUUCAACUACUUGGGCAUUACUUUCACUAGUAGCAAGCUAACAGCUAUUGACUAGCAGUAGAAAGAAUAACAGUGUAACUCAACCUCCUCAGGCACCACUUUGGCAGAAUUCUAUACAACAGCAAGCCUCAAAUAUGAAAUCUCUUCCAGGACCAUAAAUCUCAUGUCGCAAAUCCAUUUGCAGAUACCCUCUCCACUCUGCUAUCCUUCACAUAGAGUGGUAUCCUCACACCAAGAUCCCUAAGUCGAUUAACCACGUCGUAGAGAAACUCAAAUGUGAGUUUUGAUUGUGCAUUAAGGUCAUCUCUUACAUUUGGAUGCACCCUGAACCAAUCUCCUAGCAUCUUAUGCACAUGGGAACGAAUCAUUCUCCAUGGCUGUUUUAGAUGGGUAAAAAAAUAAUGGGAACGAAUCAUCAUUAUAGCUGUUUUAGAUGGGUAAAAAAAAUCAAAUCUUUUCUUCAGACAAGGAUAGGGUUGUUUUGGAGUUGAGGCUCCAAAUAAGUCUGAUGUUGAUGCAUUCUAAGUAACUUUUAAGCUGAAUUACGAGCUCAAGACGAUUAAGCCGAGUUACAUAAUACCUAGUAGGCUCAAGCUUACGUAUCAACUAGUAUUUUAACCUGUGCUAUGCACAGGUUUAUAUGAGAAUGAUGGAAAAUAU
rnacentral:lncRNA from 1 species